AUUUCUUCCAUAUCAUUUCUGCUUUAUUUGGCUCCAAGGACAUUUCUAUGUGUAGUUGUUUUGUUGUAGUAACAAUAAACUGCAGUUGGUUGUAGUUGUUUGAAGUAAUGAAAUGGCGUUUGAUUGCUACUUCCAUAGUUCUAUUAGUCUGUUAUAUUUGGCAAAAAACAAUUCCCUUUGUCAUGGUUAAGUGAACUUUCUAUUGCUUAGUACAACAGUAUAGUACUAUAGUGGCUCAUUCUAAAACAAUGGGUAAGAACUAAGAAGAUUUGCUGUAACACUAAAAUUGAAAAUAAAACUAAAACAUAGUAACAUACUUGUAAUUGUAAAAUUAGAGUGAAGCAUAUAUUUUACCUUUAGAACAUGUAGUCAUACUUUAGUUUGUUGCCUAUUUUAAGAAAUAAAUGCUAUAUGGACAUGUUUGCAGCACAUUUUGUUUACAUGUUUGAUGUGCCUCUCUGUUCCACCUCCUGAGUUCUUGCCUGGGUAUUUUGAAUCUGUAGAGUGGCUAACAACUGUUGAAUGUGUUUUUUAAUUGUUAAAUUUUGCUGUUUUUUUAAAGCUUACUUGUAGGUUUCCAUUUCUUUUAUAGUUAUUUCUAUUAGCAUUUAAUGAUUUACAAUGGACCCUCCCUCUUAGUAACUAAUUUCCUCAAGUUUGUAGAGAUUUUCUUUUACCUUUUUCUGUUGAGAGCUUGUAUUUGAGGUUUACUGUGUUUAGGUGAUCUCACCCUAUGGGUGUUGUUACUGUUCCUUGCAUAUAGUUGUUACUGCUUUGCUAUUCAUUGCCAUGUUUCUCCACCUAUUUUUUCGUUUUAUUACCGCUUGGAGUUGCUUGAGCUGAGGGUCUUUCGGAAACAGCCUCUCUACCUCUCCGAGGUAGUGGAAAGACUGCGUACACUCUACCCUCCCAGACCCCACUUUGUGGGAUUUCACUUGGUAUGUUGAUGUUGAGAGCUUGUAUAGAGGUUAAGUAUCCUUUGCGGUUGUAUUAAAUCAUUUGCCUUGUCUCUUUACAGGCUGCUAACUAUUUAAACAUAAAGAGCUUGCUAGAUCUGACAUGUCAGACAGUAGCAGACAUGAUUAAGGGAAAGACGCCUGAGGAGAUACGCAAGACGUUCAACAUCAAGAAUGACUUCACUCCUGAGGAAGAGGAAGAAGUCAGGAGGGAGAAUGCCUGGGCAUUCGAGUGAAUUUGAGUCUGUUAAGCGUCCAUAUCUGUAGAUAGAUCUGCAAUAUACUUUAGUAGAUGCUAUGAAUAACUUAUAUUAGUAAGUGUGUGACUGUUGUUUCUCGGACCUUCUGGCUUUGGCUGUUGAACCUCUUUUUCUCUGUUAUGCCAUGGUUUCUUGGUAGCCGAUGUCCAUAUUCAUUGAUCUAUUAUUGGAAAUUCAUAUUGUUUCUUGUGUUUAUCAUCACUGGUGCAUUUAGCUUCUUUACUCUUUACUUAAAUGUAAAGGUCAAUUCCUUGGCUUGUGCAAUGGUUUGGUUGUGUUGUUUUCUGUCACAAAAGGAUGUCAGACUAGAGAGUGUAUGUGAGUAGUCUUACAUGGGCAUGGUAUUUGAAGGCACAUAAUGGCCUAGGAUUUGUAGGUUCUUACCUUGAAUCCCGCUUUAGACAGACUCAGUUGAGAGUUUGAGUGUCACUAAGAGAUGGAGAAGUCCACUUUGGUGGGUGAUACAGUGUGAUGGCCUUGGUCCAAUGAGUAGUGCAUUAUUAGAAGAACCAAUAUUUAUCAUAAAUAAGAGCUGUAUAUGUGAAGUUUGACCUUCAUAUCUUAUUCACGAUAAUUUCUUCUCUGAUUUUUUUCCUCAUUAAACGGCUGCACAACUAUACUUGGGUGUGGCAGGAUAAUUUGUUUGGUCUUAUGUUUCACUGUUCUUAUUAUGUGAUUAUUUCCAUGACAUGUUUGUUUCAGUCGGAUCUGGGCAACGUUACCUGUUGUGGCAGGAUGACUGGCCAGACCUUGUAUUCCUGUUGUUGUUUACACGACAUUAUGUCCCUGUUGGUUGAAGCUGUUGGUUGAAGGUAGCUGGUAUGGAAAUAUAUUUGCAAUUUUGCCAAUGUAGUUCGGUGAGUGAUGGUCAUUUUCUUUUUAAAAAUAAAAAUAAAAAUAAAAUCAUAAAAUUAUGAAUGGGCUAUGAGGAGAUCCUUUUCGUCAUUUAAAUAUGCGGCUAAUACAUGAACAAAGAAGAAAAAAAUAAUAAUACUCCAAACAGAGUAUACUCCAAGAUCAAAUGGUUCCGGCUAGUGACAUUAUGCGAAUGAAAAAUGGUUCUGCCAGGUGUUGAUUAUUGUGAUUUGAUGAACUUGACACAUGAGAUUGAUCUAUUUGAUACUUGUGAUUGAUCUACUUGAUACAUGCGAUAUAUUCAUUUGAUACUUGUGAUGGAUAUUCUUUAUCCUUGUUCGUUGUUGAACUCUGACUAUUGGAUUGUGAUUGUUAACCCUUGUGAAUUGUGUAUUGUGAAACUGUUAGAUUGGGUUGAUUUUUUGCAGGUUAUAGUUUGAGGAGGUUUGGUUGGGAUGAAUGGAGUACUUGUAUUCUAGCUAAUUUUGUCUUGUUUAUUUGGUUACUUAUUGAGUACCGUAUUGUUUGGUACUCACUCCUCAUUUUUACACUUGUGUAGGUUCUAAGUCUGGAGCCAUGUGAUUGUUCUUCUUCUGGUUACAUCUGAGGAAACAUUGAGAAGUAGUUGCUUGUCAUCUGGCGGGCCCUCUUGUUUCUUGUUUUAUAUUUUGUUCUAUUUGAGAAAUAAAGACAUUGAGACUUGUAAUUAUCUUUCAAUUUCGCACUUUAUACAUUAGUGGCUUGUACACGUGACAAUUAGUUUUGGAGGUUAUAUUAGAAUGAAUAAGUUUUCCACUCUUAUGUUAUUCUUGUUUUACUUUUCACAUAUUUUUGUUUCGUUGGGUUGAGGCUGACUUGUCUUGAUGGAAAUACACGAGUGUCAUUACGCCCAUUUUUGGAUCGUGACAAUCUCUAUCGAUUGUUGUGAUUUUUGACCUGCUUUCUAAAAAAAUGAAAAAAGGAAGAUAUGGGCAGUAAUUAAAACAGAAAUCAACUUGUGGCUAAAACUUACCCUUGAAAGCAAACAAAUAUGGACACUUCAUUGAAAGCUUGAAAAAAAAUGGAUUAUCACAUUUCUAAAGAAAGAAAGAAGGAAUGAUCUUCGAUGUACAUAUAGAUAUACUUUUUUAAAAAUAUUAUAAUGUAAGUGUAAUUGGUAAUGACUUUACUAAUUGAUGGCUAAAGAUUAAAAUAUCCUUUUACUUUCCUCAAUGGACUUCUAACGCACAUGUUAAAACUAGAAGUGUUCACAGGUCUAUUUAGAUUAGUUAUUGUUCAAAAUCAAAAUCAAAUCAAUUUAAUUAGUUUUUAAAUUAUUAAAAUCAAAUCAAAACUAAAUAAUUAAUAUAUAUAUAGUUCGAUUAUUAAUAAUACACUAAAAUAAAAUAAACGAUUCAUAGAGAAAAAACGACAACAAUGCAUUUGAAAGGAAUAAAUUGUUUUCGUGUCAUUUUAUAAUUCUUAUACCAGAACUACAAUUAUGUUAACUUCCUGCUUAUAUUGUUAACUAAUCCACUGUACUAUAACAACAACAACAAUAUCAUUCCCAUUGAAAUGCGCACACCUUACUACGGUUUCCAAAAGACCCCCUCCUCAAGUGUAUCGAACCCAUGGAAAAGAUGGAGAAAACAUGAGACAUAAAAUCGUAGCAAUAGUAAAAUGUAAUGAUAAUUGAAAUGCAAUAAACAACAAAUGGAAAGAACUAUUAGGGCACGACUGGUCCUAAGAAAUACAUUAUACCUCUACAUGACAAGACACCACUCUAACCCCUACUAGCCUUUUACCCUAAUACGCGUCUCUAGUUCUUCAUAUCUAAAGUCAUGUCCUAAGUAAUAUGAAGCUGCAACAUGUCAUUUUUACCCCUUACUAGCCUUCUACCCUAAUACGUACCCUUCCAAUUCAGUUUAACCAUCAUUCGGGGACGGAUGAUCCCACGGGAAAGAUGUAAAACCCCAAAAAUUCUAACACAAAUCUUAUCUUGAAAAUUUCUGUAGUCUGAUGGGCCCGUAGAAGUAUCUACAAACCAUAGACAGAUUCGUAGAACCGGGUCCUUGAAAGUUGGUUAUCAAGUCUAAGUUUCACGAACCAGACUACGGGUCGUAUAAGUUCCUACGGUCUCAUGGAAACUAAAUCCUGAAGAACACUCCCAGUAAGGUUCCUACAAAAGAGAAGGACAACCCAUCAAAGUUUCUAUGGGCCGUAGAAAGGGUCCUCAAUCCCCAACUUCAGGAAUCUAGAAAACUCAACAUGUUCCUAUGAGAGGGUCUACGACUCAUAGACUUUUGUACGGACCAUAAAUGGCCUUCCGUAGACGACUCCAGUCAGUUUUUAAGAGGGGUUAUUUUUCUCACUCUUUUUAAAUCUGAACCCCGAAGUUUUUACACCUAAUUAAUGUCACAAGAAUCCCUAGCACAAAAUUGAUUUGGAAGCUUCCUUACCAAUUAAGUUUUGAUAUAAGAUUCUACUUAGAUCAACUUCAAAUAACUAUAUCUCUUAGAUUAUGAAAAUUUAGGGGCUCAUAACCAUUUAGAUUAAAGUUAUUUGAGUCUUAUUUCCAAUACCACCAAUUUUACAUCAAUCAUAGUUUUGAGUAAUUAGUUAUGAUCAUUUUACUAACCUGAUACAGUACAAUGACGAAAUAGCCAACGGGGAAAUACUAAAAAGGAUCAUUUUUGUCUUUUUACCACAACACACCCUAAACAAAAAAUUUGACUCCUAAAAACCUCUAAACAAUCAGAUUUUCAUCUCUUAAUUCUCCAUUCUCUUCUCUCUCAAACUCCAAGGUAAAAUCCUAAGGAAAAUCAAAGCAUAAGACUUCCAUGCAAGAUUCUUUCGAAUCUUUUUCAAGAUUCUUCUUCAAGGUAAGUCUUUCUCCAAGAAUUUUAUUCUUUCAAACUCAAAUUCAUUCAUACAAUUAUGAAUCAUCAAUGAAAAUCUUAGUUCUUGGCCAUAGGGUUUCAAGAAACUAAUUCAAGAAUCUCAAGAAAGGUUUUCUUGAUCAUUCUUCUUCAAGCUAGGGUUUCAAACUUCAUCAAGAACUUUAUUUUUUCCAGGUAUGUAAGGUUAUUCAUAGUGUUGGAAUAGUUCGUCCUCAUGUCUUUCAUCUCAAUUCUAUUAGUGAAACGUUAUGUUUAGAGCAUUAUCAACAAUUUUUUUAAAAUUAAAAUUCAGUUGUGUUUCUUUUCUGAGUUUCAAUUCCUUAACCGUUGAGAUUCUGAUUUCUAUUAUGUAUAUUGAUUCUAAUUUUUUGUUUAUAUUUUGUAUCAUAUGAACCCUAUUUGUUUAUAAAAAUUACUAUAUGAGAUUUCUUAUACAUUAAUUUUGGACUUUAUAGGUAAGUCCAUAAGUAUAUGUUUUAAAUGCAUGUUUGGAAAAGAGUUUUUAAAGAAAGGAUCAAAUGAUUUCAUAUGUUUUAUUUGACAGUUCAGAAAGAGAAAGAAUAUAAUUGAUUUUUUGAAAAGUACUUCGGUAAAGAAAAAUAAAAGUAAAGUAAAGUAAUAGUCUCUUUUUCACUCAAUGUCCCAUAAAACUACGUAGCCAACGUACAGAUGGUUUUCACUACUUGUUCAUAUAUUGUUUUGCUUGAUAUGUAUUUAGUCAUCAAUUAUGUUAUUGUUUUAUUCAGUCAUAUUACACACUUGUAUAUUCAAUAUAUUGAUGUCAUUCGAUCUACAUCUUUUGAUGAUGCAGAUUCAAAUAUUUACGGUCAUCAACAGAUGUUCCGUUGACUUCAUCUACUCGUCAGCUUCUGGUGAGACCUCUCUGAUUUCUGAGGACUCCAUUUUUAUUGCUCUAUAAUAUUAGGAUUUUAAGGUGUUGUGGGUCUUGUCCCGAUACCAAUCUUUAGAUAGUAGAGACUUCAUGGGCAAACAGAGUUAGACGGUUUUCACUAUUUUACUUGGAUGUUUUACUAAACACUUAAGGGUCGUUUGGUAGAAUGUAUUAGGAAAAAUAACGCAUGCAUUAGCAUUGUGUAUUACUAGUACCUUGUUUGGUACUCUUUUCCAACCUAUGUAUAACUAAUGCUUGCAUUAGUUAUACACUCUAUUGUGUAUUAAUGUGUGUAUUGUUAAUGCCAUGAAUUUCUAGGUAUUAGCAAUGCAACGGUUUUAAUGCAUGCAUUAGAUUAUUAUUAUUAUAUUUAUUAUAAUUAUUAUUAUUAUAAUAAUUAUAAUUAUUAUUAUUAUAAUUAUUAUUAUUAUAAUUAUUCUUAUUAUUAUUAUUAUUCUUAUUAUUAUAAUUAUUAUUAUUUAUUAUAAUAAUAAUAAUUAUUAUUAUUAUAUUUAUUAUAAUUAUUAUUAUAAUAAUUAUUAUUAUAAUUAUGAUAAUAAUUAUAAUUAUUAUUAUUAUUAUUAUUAUUAGAGGGUAGUUUUGUCAUUAGUUAAUCUAAUGCAUGCAUUAAAACCAUUGCAUUGCUAAUACCUAGAAAUUCAUGGCAUUAACAUAAUAAUAAUAAUGUGGGGGUAUUUUUGUAAACAAAUAUUUUUUAAUAGUCUUUAUACAAGGCUUGCUAUUUCCAAUACAUCAAACCAAACAAUGUAUAAGAAAUAAUGCAAGCAUAACUAAUGCAUGCAUUACUAAUACAUCAUAUUCAACAUUAUUCUUAUACACUCUACCAAACGACCCCUUACUAUUUAUAUUAAGUAUUUUCAGACAUUGUUUUAAAAGUUCUUUAAAUAUUUUAAAUGCUCAUCUAUUAAAGCUUCCGCGUAUUCUAUUGAGUCAUAUGUGUCAUAGUCAGACAUGUCAAGUAUUUGCUUGCGGACCAGCAAUGAUUCUCGAGUGUCGGUCAUGUCCAAGGUGUAGGCUCAAGGCAUGAAAAUAAGACACAACUUCCACCAUAAGGAAAGAUGAGUAGAAGUUGUUAGGGAUCAUCAUCUUCUUCACCUAUGAAAUAUUAACUGAAUACCUACAACCAAACUAUAUCAAGUGGCAUAGCAAGAGUAGUAUUAGUACGAACAACACGUACUGGCAGGCAUCCAAACCCACCACAUAAUAUAAAGUAGACACCACCCAAAGUCUCUAUCCACGUGCUUCUACCAUCUCAGAUAUAAUACCUAUAAACUAGUAUACUUGAACCCAACCUUGUACCUCAUUAUUCUGCUAUCAACUUUGAUGUUUCCUAAGCUAGCCUUUUAUGUCACUUUAACACUUUCCAAAUUUGUCUGUGAUGUCACCCUAAUAUCAUAUCAUAAUAUAACCCUACUAUCACAUAGAGAUUACCGAAUACAAGGCCACCACUAAUGUCAAAUCAUAGACUAACCUUUCUACCACAUAAUGUCCACGAACAUAAGGUCAUCACUAGCCAUAUCAAUCAACUUGCUUGUCCUUCUAGGAAAGUACAUGACACUAGCGCAUUAGACCAACUCAUCUCUCUUGACUCACAUCCCCAUUAUCAAAUAAGUUCUAAAAAAUUAGACAACCAUGAUCAAUCACAUCACUUAACCAUAUACCAGUGUUGAACUUAACAACCACCAUUUCAAUAAAUCAAUCACAUCAUGAUAAAUAGAAAUUGAGUUUAGAAAUAAAUAAAGCAUUGAGACCUCAUAAACUUAACUCAAUAGUUAAAAUAACUAUGCAGAAUAACACCUAAGGAUUCAUUAUCAAUAAACAUUAAUUAUACCUCAACUAUCAUAAGUAACACAUAAUUUGGACUCUCAAUCCUCACCUUAGAUUUAUAUGCAUAACCCGCAAUACCAUAACCACAUGUAACAACAAUGGAGAAUAUGUAGGCUCUCAGCCACAAUAUCAUGAACAAUAACAUUUGGGUCAAACAAUGCAUAACUACAUGUCUCACCUGAUCACAAUGUAAUUAUUGGGCCCCCUCAUGAAAUCACAAUCACAUACAUGGUCCUCUCACGGAAUUCAAACUCAAGCUAUUAGUAUACCGACAUGGUACCCAAGCCAUCUAUAGUUAGUGUAUCAGUAUGGUGUCUAAAUCAUUCAUAGUUAGUGUACCUGCGUGGUACUUGAGUCAACCAACAAUCACGCAUAAUCACAUAGCGCAAUGGACAAGACCACUUGAAAAUCACAAAUCACAAUCACAAGUUCAUUGCAUGAGAUGACCAACAUGAUGUCAUUGCCUCCCUACCAUGCAUUGCAAAAAUGUUACUACAAGUAGUAAACAUGCAUACAUACUUAAAUCAGAAACAUACAACCAACACCUACAUGGGUAUAUCAAUAGCCUAACACUAGAUCCCUUUUUAUGAACACACAUUCGUUUUCUUGAUUAUCACAACCUUAGAAAUGGUUAUAACCUAACAAUAUCAUAACACUUAAUCUUACCAUUAACACCAAAUCACCCUUAAGAAAACUCAAGACUAACAAUCGAGAACUAGAGAACCACCGGUUUUCCUUAGUCAUUAUCUUUUCUUGCCCUGACAUCAAUAAAUAACAACAUUUAGUCAUCUAAACUCCAUACCCAAAGGUUUAGUCCCAUCAAUCCACAAAAUACCAUGCAGUAGUUAAGAAAACAUGUCUAACUACUCAAUUAAGGAAACCUAGCCUACCUGGGUGCCAAACAAUUGUUGUAGAAGUCUGAUCGCGAAUCUUUAACCCUUUGUAAAGCGUUAGCUUGUUCUUAGUCUAAAAUAACAAAUACAACACAACAUUCAAUCAAACAAUGACCUAAUAACUCCCGGAUUGCAACUAAAUCCUAACCCCCAAGCCAAUAUAUGAUCAUCUUCCCCAACUUAGGACUUUUUCCACCAUGAAAUUAUGUCAAAAGUUUCCUCCCAAGAGUAAUAACUUAGAUUCUAAGACUUAAGAAUCAAUGUACAAGGAUGUGUAGUAAUAAUGUUACCUUUAUUGAUGCUUUCCAUGGAAAAUCAAGUGUAACCUGCCUUAAAUUUCCCCUCCCAAGUCCAAGAACACAAAAUGCAAAAAAUAAGGUUUUUAGGGUUAUUUCUGCAUAAAACCCCGAUUCUAUCACUAAAGCAACGCCACUACAAUCGUGACUAACCUCAUUGUAGAGGUCUGAUCCCCAAAUCAAAUGAAAUCGAUUAAUUUAAUCGGCUUGAUUUGAUUUUUUAAUAUGAAUUAAUUUUUACCCUGAUCGUAAACACCCCGCUGCCCGCCCCAAUGGAAACCAUCCUUCCUAUCAUCAUCAUAUAUCAUAUAUCAUAUAUCAUCAUAUCAUAUCAUAUAUAUAUUAUAAGUGGGAAGCUUCCAAGUUAAAAGUUGAAUUACAAAAAUACCCUUCAACUAAAAAAAAAGAUAUUUUUAAUAAAUGGUUGUAAUAUAAUUUUAUACUUAUUAAGCUUUAAUUGUUUUGUAUAAUAAAAUAAUAAACGGAAAAUGAAAAAACCAAGGAGACGAUGAUCAGAUGAUAAUUUUUUAUACUUAAAAACUUUUGAUUUUGUGUUAGAGAAAAGAACCCUUUCCUUUCUUCAUUUAUUUUUUUAAAAAUAGACCAAUAACUCUAUAAAUUAUCUAAUCUUUCCUCUUCCCCAAUACCAAUAACUCUCUAAAUUAUCUAAUCUUUCCUCUUCCCAAUUUAUUACUCAGUUAAAUCGUAAGUUAAUAUAAUUAUAUAUAUUGAAUGAAAGAUGAAACAACUUCCUGAAUAUACCGUUCAUAUUCCUUUUUUGCACUUAGUAUAAUUUAUAUAAAUGCAUAUUAUCAUAUAAGGUAAUAGGACUGCUUCACUUCAGUUGCAACUUAAUAUUAUGAUAUAUUUUUUUGCCUCAUAUUCUUCGUAUUGCUUUCAUUUAUUUUUUUUCUAUUUCAUGUCUAAUGUAGUGUAUUUCUUUGCUUAUAACAGUUAGGUGAAUAAUUUUUCUUCCAUAUUAUUCUCAUUUGUAAAUCAUAAGGUGUGUGCGUUCAUAUUCUCAUUCAUUCCUGAUUUUUUUAAUAAUGUAGAUGCAUUCUUAGUUUGAAUUUAUUUUUACUAUUUAUUAAGUUUCGUAAUUGGAGUGGUAGUUCCUUCAAAGAAAUAUUAGUAAAUGACAUUUCAAAUAUCGUGAAAAAGAUAUUUAGAGUUGAUUUAUAUUGUAAGCACAUUUGAAUGUUGCAUAUGAUUAUGGUAGUCCCCCUUUCUCAUUUUCUAUCUCCAUUUUCACUCUUAAAAAGAUAAAAAUGAUUUCUUUCCUAAUGUAAUCACCAUUCUUUUGCCUUCUUUUUUCAUAUAAAAGUGAUAGUCAAUUCAUGAUUUUAUAAAAAGAACUACAAAAAUGGAUACGAGGAGAGAAAUGUGAAAUAUAUAUUUUGCACUUGAAAUAGGUAAUUGAUAUAUGUCGUGUCAAACAAAUAGUUAAUUUAAUUUGUAGUUUUAGUGAUAAAGUUUGAUUAAUUUUUAGAGUGUGUAAUUUAUUUUCACCAUUAUAAAUUAAUUACAUACGCUUUAAAUUCAUUGUAAUACAAUGUAAAUUACCUUGGUUAUUAUUAAUUAUUUCUAUUUUUCAUCUUCCUAUGUAUUAACUUUUCUCAUAAUCUAUUUAUUUUCCUUUGCCUCAAAACAUUGCUGUCAGAUAUAUAUAAGUUACUGAUAUUAUUUUGUUUCUUUUUGUUGUCUACUCUUUACCAUGCUACCAUAUCUUAUGUGUCAAUUUAGCUAUCAAACUUUUUUCAGGUAGAAUAUUAAUGACCCAUGAAAUUUAUUCUUGAAAAGCUCGGUGUUUUCGAAGUUAUUUCCUAAUCUAUUUUCCAAGUUAUUAUAUAGAUCUUAAGAUUAUUGAAUACUUAUUUGUUAAAUUGAAGCAAAUUACUCUGUCAUGAAUUUUAUUACAUCUACAUUUUUAUCUAUUGUACUUAAAUUUGACCUUUUUAUAGCAAGGGUAAAACUUAUCUGCACCGAAUGUAUACACCAAAUCAAUACAUGCAUGCUAUGUGUUUAAAUUUAUAGUUUAUUUUACUUAACUAUAAUUAAUUAACAUAUAUUUUACUUCAUCAAAUCACGUAAUAAUGAAAAUUGCAUUAGUUGAGUGCAUAUAUUCGGUGCGAAUACGUUUUUUCCUAUAUAUAAACACAUUUAUGUAAUGAGAAAUAGACAAUGUAACAAAGAAAAUUACAAGUUUAUUUUGUAGAAUAGUCUAGGUGUUCUUAUAAUGCAAAUGUGCUAUAUCUAUAUAUAAUAUAAUAGUGUUGUUCUGCCACAAAAUUAAGGGAAAAUGAUGAAAUUACAUCUCAUCAGAGGGUUUUUUUUUUUUUUGGCAACCAAUGUGAAAAUUACCAUUAACAAACAAACAAAACUUACAAACUAAGAGCAUUUCAACCUCAGUACCUUAACUGGUAUUAGAGGAGUGACCUCAUCAACUCAAACUACUUACAUAAAUUCUACCAAAAACUCCUACAUCUAUGUGCUCUUUUGGUAUUCUUAUGCAUGUCUAUCCUCGCUAUAAGUUCUCGAAUUAUUCCCUCCACUAUGUCAGUAUACUGUAUUUGUACUCCUUUGAAAUGCUUCCAAUUCCUUGCCUUCCAGAUGUGAUACACUAUUGCUCCCCAAAUAGCAGUCACCACCUCUUUCUUAAACUUCUUCCAAUGCUUCAACUUUAUCAUCUCCAAUGUAGUUUUUAACUCUUUUGCGGGAAUAAAGAUGUUGGCCCAUUGUAGUAAUUUAGCUCUCACCUUUGCAACAUAUUCACACUCUACAAACAUGUGCUUGUACGACUCUAUCAUUCCAUUUUGACACAGGCAGCAGCUAUUGUCUUCUACAUAUACUCCCAUAUUUAUCAACCUAUCCUUUGUGAGCAAUCUAUUUUGCAUUGCUAGCCACAAAAAGAACCUCUGCCUAAGUAAUACGACAGAGUUCCAAACUAAUUCAGCUACCUCAAGUUUCUCUUGAUUGCCUAUCAGAUCAUUAUAUCCACUUGUAAUUGAAUACUCCCCAUUUGUUGUAAGGUUGAACUGCCCUUACGUAUACCAUUGUUGCAUCAUAUUUUUCAGGGAGUUUAUUUUCCUCCAGUACCAACUACUAUCAACUGGUGCUUUGUGAGUCCAGACUGUAUCAGUUUUUAUGUAAAUCCCAUGCACCCAUUUCACCCAUAAGGAUUCCUUCCUCAUAACCAAUUGCCAUAAGAGCUUUCCAACAAUGGCUACAUUCCAUUUACCACAUCCUUUUAUAUUAAGUCCGCCCUGCUUCUUUGGAUAACAUAUUUUCUCCCAAGAAACCAAUGACACUUUCCUUUUUUCCUCAUUGCCUCCCCACAAAUAUUCUCUGCAUUUCUUGUCCACCUCUUUCACUACACUCUGAGGUAGGAUGAACACUGAGCCCCAAAAACUGUGUAUGGAGAACAAGACUGCCAAGAUCACUUGAAGUCUGCCUGCAUAGGAAAGUUGUUUUGCAUAGGUGUACUUGAUCCUGCUUGUUAUUUUAUCAACUAGUUGAUGGCAUUCCAUUUUUCCCCACCUUUUUGAUCUCAUCAGAGAGUUAUUAUUAAUAAAACACGAUCGGAUGUAUACACCCAAUUAAUACAAUUUCUAUUAUUUCAUGAUUUAAUGAAGCAAUUAUUUCGUAAUUUAAUGAAGCAAAACAUAUGUUAAUUAAUUAUGGUUAAGUAAAAUGAACUAUAAAUUUAAACACAUGACAUGCAUAUAUACACCCAAUGUAUACACCCGAUGUAGUGGACUCAUUUUAGGAUGCUUGGAGUCAUGUGACUUGCACAUAGAUGGGUCUGUUAAUGAUUUUAACAGAAGUUUCAUGAAGGAUGGAAUUUGCUAAGUUUUGAAUACAUUAAGGAUGAUUUUUGUUCAAUAUGAUAGUUGAAAGAUGUACAUUAAGUUUUGGUUAUAGAUAAAGAUGUUUUUGGUCAAAAACUCAAUAAAAGUAAUAUAAGUAGCAAAUCCUAGCAGGUUCUCUCACUCUUGCCUCUUUUUCUUCUCUCUAGCCUACAUUUAGGGUUUGUUGAUCGGUUCACAAUUCUCCUUCAAAGAUGAUCGUUUUGAGGAGCUCCGACGGAGAGACCUUUGAGGUCGAUGAGGCGGUGGCGCUAGAAUCGCCGACCAUUAAGCAUAUGAUAGAGGACGACUGCACUGACACCAGCAUCUCUCUACCCAACGUUACUAGCAAGAUCUUAGUCAAGGUCAUCGAAUACUGCAAGCGCCAUGUGGAGGUUCCUAAAGCUGAGGAUAAGACCGCCGAAGUGGAUCUCAAGACUUUCGAUGCUGAAUUCGUCAAAGUUGAUCAGAGCACCCUUUACGAUCUCAUGCUGGUAUGGAUCUUUUUAAAUCUAUAUGUAUAUCUUAGUUGAUUCGUAUGUGUUUUUGAUUACGAUGAUCCGAUGGUUCAAUUAUUAGUGUGCAGGAUUGCUGAUUCUUUAAUUAAUUUAUCUAAAUAACUAGAAAGAGGCAAAAGUCAUAUAACUUUUUUAUAUUCUAAAAUUAUAGUUGGAUGAAAUAUGUGACUCCUAUGGUAGAAAUGUCAUAUAGAAGCCAAGGGUGUGGCUUGGUGGUCAAUGAAAUGGUUGAGAGCCAUCAGAGGUUCAAUUCAGUGGAGACAAAAAACAUUAGGUGGUUCAUCCCAUCUAUCCUAGCUUCACCUGGUAUUUGUUGUUGAUGGGAGGUGGUAGAAAUCCCAUCGAAUUAGUCGAGGUGCGUGAAAGCCGACCAAGACACCACGUACAUCCAGUAAAGUGUCAAAGCAGUAGCAAAUAAGAGAAGAGCAGUAUCAAAACCAAAAAGAACGAAUGUUUCUAUAUUUGGAAGUUCUUUAAUUUUUCCAUUUACCCUUAGUGACAUUCUCUUAUAGGCAAUGAUAAUGUCAUUUAGUGACAUGUUUAGAUCACAUGUUCCAACUAAAAAGUACUUUCUAUGUGUUAGAACUUCCUUUAUCUUUAUUAAAUUCCAUUCCCAGUCAAGCACCACCUCCAUAUAAAAUUAACCAGAAGAUUAUUAGUUUUCUGUGAUCAGUUUGGUAAUUUUUUGUUAGGUUUUGUUUAUCUUGUGAAUCUAUGGUAGUUUGUCAAUUCACCUUUUACUUCUGGCUACCAUUGCCUAUCGACAUCGCUUUUGUUUGCUGUCUCUUCCAUAGACUGAGUUUCCGCUCUAGUUUGCUCCUGUUUAAGCUUCAAUGGUAAUAUACAUUUAGUUUAUUAGGGCGGUCACGAAUAAAUUAAUCAAUCAAUUAUGUCUCAGUCCCAAACUAAAUCAUUUCUUCCAUAUCCUUUCUGCUUUAUUUGGCUCCAAGGACAUGUCUAUGUGUAGUUGUUUUGUUGUAGUAAACAAUAAACUGCAGUUGGUUGUAGUUGUUUGAAGUAAUGAAAUGGCGUUUGACUGCUACUUCUAUAGUUCUAUUAGUCUGUUAUGUUUGGCAAAAAACAAUUCCCUUUGUCAUGGUUAAGUGAACUUUCUUUUGCUUAGUACAACAGUAUAGUACUAUAGUGGCUCAUUCUAAAACAAUGGGUAAGAACUAAGAAGAUUUGCUGUAACACUAAAAUUGAAAAUAAAACUAAAACAUAGUAACAUACUUGUAAUUGUAAAAUUAGAGUGAAGCAUAUAUUUUACCUUUAGAACAUGUAGUCAUACUUUAGUUUGUUGCCUAUUUUAAGAAAUAAAUGCUAUAUGGACAUGUUUGCAGCACAUUUUGUUUACAUGUUUGAUGUGCCUCUCUGUUCCACCUCCUGAGUUCUUGCCUGGGUAUUUUGAAUCUGUAGAGUGGCUAACAAUUGUUGAAUGUGUUUUUAAUUGUUAAAUUUUGCUGUUUCUUUUAAGCUUACUUGUAGGUUUCCAUUUCUUUUUAGUUAUUGCUAUUAGCAUUUAAUGAUUUACAAUGGACCCUCCCUCUUAGUAUCUAAUUUUCUCAAGUUUGUAGAGAUUUUCUUUUACCUUUUUCUGUUGAGAGCUUGUAUUUGAUGUUUACUGUGUUUAGGUGAUCUCACCCUAUGGCUGUUGUUACUGUUCCUUGCAUAUAGUUCUUUGCUAUUCGUUGCUAUGUUUCUCCACCUAUUUUUUCGUUUUAUUACUGCUUGGAGUUGCUUGAGCCGAGGGUCUUUCGGAAACAGCCUGCGUACACUUUACCCUCCCAAACCCCACUUUGUGGGAUUUCACUUGGUAUGUUGAUGUUGAGAGCUUGUAUAGAGGUUAAGUAUCCUUUGCGUUGUCUCUUUUCAGGCUGCCAACUAUUUAAACAUAAAGAGCUUGCUAGAUCUGACAUGUCAGACAGUAGCAGACAUGAUCAAGGGAAAGACGCCUGAGGAGAUAAGCAAGACAUUCGACAUCAAGGAUGACUUGACUCCUGAGGAAGAGGAAGAAUUCAGGAGGGAGAAUGCCUGGGCAUUCGAGUGAAUUUGAGUCUGUUAAGCAUCCAUAUCUGUAGAUAGAUCUGCAAUAUACUUUAGUAGAUGCUAUGAAUAACUUAUAUCAGUAAGUGUGUGACUGUUGUUUCUCGGACAUUCUGGCUUUGGCUGUUGAACAUCUUUUGCUCUGUUAUGCCGUGGUUUCUUAUGUUCUAAGUAAAAAUUGAAGGUAAAAUCAUGUUGGUAGCCGAUGUCCAUUUUCAUUGAUCUAUUAUUGGAAAUUCAUAUUGUUUGUUGUGUUUAUCAUCACUGGUGCAUUUAGCUUCUUUACUCUUUACUUAAAUGUAAGGUCAAUUCCUUGGCUUGUGCAAUGGUUUGGUUGUGUUGUUUUCUGUCACAGAAGGAUGUCAGACUAGAGAGUGUAUGUGACUAGUCUUACAUGGGCAUGGUAUUUGAAGGCACAUAAUGGCCUAGGGUUUGUAGGUUCUUACCUUGAAGCCCGCUUUAGACAGACUCAGUUGAGAGUUUGAGUGUCACUAAGAGAUGGAGAAGUCCACUUUGGUGGGUGAUACAGUGUGAUGGCCUUGGUCCAAUGAGUAGUGCAUUAUGAGAAGAACCAAUAUUUAUCAUAAAUAAGAGCUGUAUAUUUGAAGUUUGACCUUCAUAUCUUAUUCACGAUAAUUUCUUCUCUGGUCUUUUUCCUCAUUAAGCGGCUGCACAACUAUACUUGGGUGUGGCAGGAUAAUUUGUUUGGUCUUAUGUCUCCCUGUUCUUAUUAUGUGAUUAUUUCCAUGACAUGUUUGUUUCAGUCGGAUCUGGGCAAUGUUAUCUGUUGUGGCAGGAUGACUGGCCAGACCUUGUAUUCCUGUUGCUGUUUGAAGAUAGCUGGUAUGGAAAUAUACUUACAAUUUUGCCAAUGUAGUUCGGUGAGUGAUGGUCAUUUUCUUUUUUAAAAAAAAUCAUAAAAAUAUGAAUGGGCUAUAAGGAGAUCCUUUUCGUCAUUUAAAUAUGUCGCUACAUGAACAAAAGAAGAAAAAAAUAAUAAUACUCCAAACAGAGAGAAUGGAGAGGAAGAAGGAAAUGAUAACCUUUCGGACAAGAAAUUCGCUCUUGUCAACUGUGUUAGACAAUAGCCAUUAGUCAAAUUGUUGGACUAGAAUUAAAGUGUUUUAUUAAAUCAAAUACAACAACAACAACAAAAAGUUAUAUGUUUUGUUUUGCCUCUUGAGAGAACUUGUGUUUUAUGAGAAAUAUGGAAAUUUUGGUUAAUUAGUCGGCAAACUGAACUUUCAGCUUUUCUGUGGAUUUGAUUCUCUAUCAUAUAAUUCAUUCACUGUUAAUCACAUAGAGAAUGUUUAACAAAAAGAAAAAGAAACGAACAUUUCCGGCUCACUAGGGUGUCAAAUUAACUUCAAAAACAAAGAACUCACCCAGAUUUUUAUGGGUUUGAGUUUAAGGUAACUCAUUUAAACAUUAACCAUUUUAGAAUGGUUGUCAACUUAACCUAAUUUAAUUCUUACUUCAAUCCACAUUUUGUCUUCAUAAAAUCACAUAUAUUGCCCUAAUAUUUUUCAUCAUAUCCAGUAGGAUUAGAUCUCGGAUCGGAUCGAGUCUUGGAUCCCAGGUCAAGGUUGGAACCAGAUCUCGAAUUCCAAAUCGGGGUUGGAUUGUAGAUCACGGGUUUCAAGUUAAGGCUGGAGUCGGGUCGCAGAUCCCUAGUCGGGAUCUGGGUGGAUCUCGGGUCAGGACCGUUUGAAUCAUGUUCGGAUUUUGAGUUCCAGAUCGGUAUUGGUGUUGGAUUUUGGAUUUCGAAUUUCGUGUUGGGGUUGGGUCUUGUGUCUCGAUUUUCGGGUCUGAUCGUCUCUCUUGGCCCGAGUCUUAAAGUCUCAAGUUCCAAGUCGAGUUUUAGGACUAUAACUUUUUGGAUUUUUAAUUUUAGCGAAUUUGAUCUCUUUUCUUUUCAUGAAUUACAUAAGUAUAUCAAUAAUGUUUAGAUUAAGCAAGUCAAAAUGGAUGGAUCAUGAUCCAACUUAGUAUUUAAUUCAGUUUAGUCCACUUAAUUUAGUCCAAAAUAAAUUUAAAUACAUCAUGAUUUAACUAAAUUUUUAAUUCAAUCAAUUUUAAUUUUUAACAUCUUUAGUUUAAGCUCGAUUUGUCCAUUUAACACAACAAACAAACAUGAUUAUAAUUAUAAUUUGUUUAUGGCUGACUGUCUGACGGGUGUUUUACUUAAAGAGAAAGGUUAUCAAUUUGUUCAGUUUGAACACAGGCAUUAGACGGAAGUGUGCAGAAAAGGGAAGUGAAAGAAAAAAAUAUUGUUACUACUCCUUUUAUCUCAAUUUAUGUAAUACAUUUCAUAUUUUGAGAGCCAAACAAUUUAAUUUUGACUGAGAAUUUGCUCAUGGAAUCUUAAAAAAAAAUUAAAAUGAAAUAUAUAUAUAUAUAUAUUUGUAAACUGUGUAAAAAGUACUUUAAGUUACAAUAAUUAACAAUUCAAAAUAUUUAAAAUAUAUAUGAAAAAUUUAUGGUAAAAAAUAAACUUGUUUGAAUUUCGAUAUCCGAAAUGUUUCAUAUAAAUUGGAACAAAGGAAGUACCAUUUAUCAUUGGACUAGUCUCUGGGCACACGCACGCGCGUGUACCCUAUACGUCAAUAAGUAAAAUUCUUAUAAAGUUAUAUAAAUAUUAUUUUAAAAUGUAAUACCAACUUAACCUUAGUGAAUCCAUCUUACUGUUUUCUUCCUUUAAAAACAAGGGUGAAAUUAUAACAUUAUAAUAUUAGAUCGAUCUUGUGCAUAACUUUAAAACAAUGAACCAAAAACAUUACAAAUAUAAUUUAUAUAAAAACACAAAAUGUCGAAUCAAAUGAGAUUCAUUUAAUAUAAGGUAAUCAAACUUAAUCAUUGUAGGACAAUGUAGAAGCAAUACUUGAUAUUUCUAACCUUAUGAAUUCAUCUUCCUCAAAAUUCUUUUCGGUGUUUCUAAAUAAAGUGAAGAUGUCAAACUUAAUAUCAUAUUAUAGAUAGACUAAUUCGAAAAUAUAUAUAUAUUAAUGAUCAAAAUCUUACUAACAAACAAUAGAAGAUGGGAAAAGAGGAGAAAAGAAGGAACUUUACCAAAGGAGUACGUAGAACGGCUAGUGGAAGAACCCAAGAAGAGAAAUUUGUAUUUGGUAAUGUUAUUUAUUGAUUUAACUGCAACUCUUCGGGUAAAAAACUUAACUAUACAAGUUAAGUACCUUAAUUACCACUAUAUAUCAAUAUAUUUUUUUCGCCUAUAUAACAAAUUUUUUUUUCAAAGUUGUGUUUUACUAUUAAAAAAGGUAAAAAAAAACGGUUAGAUUAAUGGCCCACGAUUUCCCAAUAUUUCUCAAAUCUUUUACCUUCCAUGAUUUGCUCAAAUUGGUUAUAAAUAUUUUCUCCUAUCACCAAAAAAUUUCUUAACAAAAAUAGAACUCUCUUUCUGUUCAUUUCUGGUCCACUUCAAUCAUGGAUACCAAUAAUUAUUCAAUCAUAAUUCACCAUAAAGGACGUUGGGACGCAUCGGGUAUUAGUGAUAAUUCAAUAUUUGAUUGGUAUUACUUUUUUAAUUCUUUUUUGUAAUUGAAAAGUUGAUGGUUACGUUGUGAGUACUAUGAUUGGUAUUUGAUUUUGUAUUACAAUGAACAAAAUAACGUUGCAAAUAUAUUGAAAACUUGAUGGUUCAUUGUGAGUACUAUGAGUCGUUUAUUCAUUUAAUUAAUGAUGUAAUAUAUAUAUGUUGUUUAUGUUAUAAAUCAGUUUCAUGUUCAUAUUUUUUUUAUUAAUUCUUUGAUUUUUUUAGGGUUAUGAUAAUCGGAAUACAAAUAUAUUUAGUGAUAAUAUAUGUUUUGAUAAUUGUUUUGGUGAAAGUGAACGUUUUUUAAUUAUCAAAUGUUGGACUGCAUGUUAGUUGUACUACUGAUUUUCUUUGUGUCAUUUGAAAUUGGUUUUCUUGGUACUAAUGAUGGUAAACAUGUUGAUUACCUGUUGGUACAUAACUAUGGUGUAUAUGGUGUAAAAAAGCGCCGGAAAACUGAAAAUAAAAAAAUCACAUGACAACUUACAAAAUCAUUGAAACAUAUCCAAAACGCAACUAAGAUACCAUUCAAACGUAAAACAAGGGAAUAAAAUCCAUAAAGAAAUACAUUAUGGGCGUACUAUCAACACCCAUUACUUGUUUAUUAAGUCGAGGGCUCUUGCGUGGAGUCUUAUCCAUCGGUGGAGGAAUAUAAUUCUGAUCGAAAAAGAACUAUGGUGAUUUUGGUUGUAAAAAAUAAGGACUUGAAAAGGUGGAAGGUUACAAUUUUGUUCUUGAAAUGUAAUACAAAGAAAGAUGGAGAUUGAAAUCUGAAAAGUAGAAGAUGAAUGGUUUUUACUUGGAAACAAUGAAUCACCUAGGUAAGUAAGAACACCAACUUUAUUGAAAACAUAAAAGGUAUUAUAAAAAAGGAAGCAAAAUAGUCAUUAACUCAUGGAAAGUAAAUAUAUCAUGUACAUGAAAACGUAUAUAACCGGGACUAUUUAGGAGAGAUAAAAUUGAAAAUUAUUAAAUACCCUAAUUAUGCUCCACAUGAAAGGCACAUAAUUAAAAACCAUAAAAAGAUAAAACCGAAUAGAAAGAGAAAAUACGGGAAAAAAAAUACAUUAAAAUAAAAAUUAAUAAUUUAUUUUGUUAUCUAUGUAAUUUAAAAACUCUUUAUGUAAUUCUAUAUAAAUAUAUUGAUUUUAAGUUAAUUAAAGUCUUAACGUGUAUAUUUUUGUAAUUUACCCUUAUUGAAUUUUAAUUAUUUUACCAAUUACAUAUGACUCUGAAAAUUCUAGAAAUCUUAAUUGACUCUUGAUCUUUUAUAUUACCUUUCUAAUAAAUAAAAGUUAUCAUUCAAAAAAUAAUUAAAAUAUUAUUAUUUAACAUUUAAUUAAUUAGAUGUUUAAUUUAGCUUAGAGUAAAAUGGUAAUCCAUUUUUAAUAAUAUAUAUGAUGAUGAUAUAAGGUAUGUUUGAAUGGUAGAACUACAAUUAAAUCCAACCUUCAUUUGCUAUGUUGUGAUGAGUUCGUCCCUUCAAGCUUGCCUAAAAAAAGGUUUACAUGAUUUACAUUUUUUAUAUAACUAGUUAACAUGUUCGCGCUUCGCGCAAUUAUAACAAAUAUUUUAAAGACAAUUUCUUUUAUAAAUUAGCACAUACUAAAAAAGAAGAAAUAUGAUCAAUACUUUGGUAAAAGCUUUAAAAUGUUUAUGAUAAUUGUUUCAAUUUAUAAGAUACUAUUUUCGUAUUAUUUUGUUGGGGUGAAAAGAAUAUGUUUAAUAUUUUGAAAAAAAAAAUGCUAACUUAAUUUUCUGCUUAAUUUUUUAUUUGUCGUGGAUCAUCAAAUGAAGCAUAAAUAAUCUUUCCUCCUCGUUUUUUAAAUGUAGGAAUGCUUAUUUUAUAUAAGGAACUAGUGAAUUUAGACCCUUUUAAAUAUAAUUCUUCAAUAUGAUUUAUUUAACAAAAAAUAUACUUGUUAGGUACGUAAUUUUUCAUAAAAUUCUUUAUUUUUUUAAAAAAAUCGUGCAAGUUAAAAUAUGAAAAAUAACAAAAGGCAUGUCAAUAGUAAUACAAAGGAAAGAACGACUAACUAUUUUCUAAUCAAAUAAAAUAUAAAUAUAAAAAAAUCGUAAUAAUAAAAUUGAAAAGCAAUCAAUAUUAAUAUUUCAACAAACAACUCGAUACAAAAUAUAUCGUCAUUUUUAUUUGUAUUAAUUAUCAAAGAAUAAUUAUACAAAUCAAAAUAAGUGAAUUGUUGAGCCCUUUUUCAUAGUUCAAAAUAAGUGAAUUGUUCCAAGUUUAAGAGAGAUGUUGAAAAAUUCUUCCAUUUUUGCCCUCAUUUACAAUGUUAAAUAAUUAUAAAAGAAAUGACUUUUUAAAUACAGAAUGUGUACAUAACGUCAUCAGGAAAAUAAAUUAUUUACUUUAAAGUUAUUUAGAGCGCUCAUUUAUGAAAUAGAAAAAUGACUUAAUUUUGAGUAAUUUUAAUAUAUGAUGUAAAUGAAAGAAAAAUGGAAAGAAGUCUUAAAAAAAGAGAGAAAGAAUUAAGUAAAAGGAAAUUGAGGAGACAUGUUAUUUUAGCAAAAAAUAUAAAUAGAUAAAAAAAAUUAUAAGUCAUGAGAUGGAUCAACCCUUUAAUAAAAAGAACAACGCAAUAUAGUAGUAUUUCCCUAUUAAUUUUAAAGAAAAUUAGAGUAUGUCUUGUUACCAAAAGCUUACAACCACAAAUAAAGAAAAAACAUAUGCUCCCAUGAAAAUGUUCUACGUGUAAAUCUUGAAUAGCUGAUGUGCAAAUGAUAGACUAACAUCUAAAUCUAUUAUAUGUUGGGAAAACUAAAUGUAGAGGUAAUGAAAAGAAUCGUAGAAAGGAGUUGAGGAGAUAUGUCAUUAUUUAAGUAGAAAAAGUGAAUAAACGGAGGUUUUUGUAAUUUAUGAGAUGUAAUUAGCUGUAAUAAAUAUUAUAUAUAUAUUUUUUUUAGUUAUCAAACAAAUUAAUUAAUGAAGAGAGUAAACUCAUUUUUUGAGUUUCAUAAUCAACUUAAACAAAUAUCAAUUUUCUCUAAAACUUAAGAAAAUAUGUUCAUUGUAAUUAGAUAUUGGCAGAACAAACUUGGUUCAUUCUGAAAAAUUUCAUUAAAUUAGAAGAAUUAAAUGUUUUGUGAAAUUUGAAUCCAACAAUAAUAUAUAUUGACUAAUUUUACACAAGUGUUAACAAAUAAGAAACAAAAACUUAAUGGAGGGAAACUCAUCUCCUUUUUAGUCAAUUCAAAAUCUACAAAAGAAAAAAAUGUGUUAUAUCAUCUAAAUUAGAAUGAAAAGAAGCGGAUAAAGCUAAACAAAAGAUGAUAGAAUCUUGAUUGAGAAAUUAUGUCAUAUUAACAUGUUAUAUACAUAAUAUAUAUCGAUAUAAAAUAUGAAUUGUAUAUGCAAAAGACAAAAGUUUAUAUAAUGAAAAUAUCAAAAGUUUUCUUUAAGCAACAAAAUAAUCCGUGGAAGAUCAUGUUGCCCUUGAUACAAAAAGUAGUGCUUUGUAAUAUAAUCUUGUUCUUGAGGUACAUAUCUUGAUGGAUAAAUAAUUAAUUGAAAAAUUAUAUAAGCAACAAUAAGUGCAUCUAUAUAUUUGUAAAUUAUUGAAACUUCUACUUUUUCAAAUUUUACUCUUUCCAACUCUUGAUGAAUCUCCCACCGUCAUUAAACUUUCUUCUUCAUUUUGAUGACUUGUAGCGAAUUAAUUUUUGAAUCUCUUUUGACGAAUCUUACACCGCCUUCAAACUUACUUCUUCAUCUUGAUAAACUUUUGCUUGGCAAUUGUAACACAAGAAGAAAUUCUAAAAAAUAUAUCUAUAAUCUUCAUAAAAGCUGAAAAACAAAAAAAAUAAUAUUAACGAUAUGAAGUUGGAGAAAAUAGAAAUGGACAUGCAACAACACCAUAGAUGAUUGUUAUUUAUAGAUGAGAAUUAAGUAGAAGGAAGUUGAGGAGACAUAUUAUUUAAUUAGAGAAUUCAAAUAGGUAGAGGUUUUUUUGUAACUUUCAUGUGAUAUAAUUAUAUGUAAUGAAUAUGAUUGAUUUUUUAAUUUUUAAUGAAUUGAUUAAUGAAAAAAAUGAAUGGAAAACUCAAAAAAGGAGAAAAAAGAUAAAUAGCUUUCUAGGCCAUUGAGAGGUGCCACAUCACCUUGUUUAUAGAGGCCUUUAUUAAAUAUAUAGAUUUUUGUAAUUAAUUAAGUAAUACAACCUUUUAUAUAAAUUAAAUAAUAAAGAUAAAAUAUUAAAAAAAAAAAUAAUUUCGUAAUUGUAAUUUGAAGGACAAAUUUUUUUUAUUUUUUUUAUUAAUAAUAGAAAUUAGAGAGGUAUGAAUUAUGAAUAAUUACUCCUUGUAAGUUGGCAUGUGAAGAGUCUUUGUUGUAAAUGUUUUUCUAUUAAUAUAAUAUUUAUUGUAAUAAAUUAAAUAAUUGACUUUUACAAUAAAAUAAUUAAUUUAAAUAAAAAGAAAGGCCAAAAAAAUGAGAAAAAAGAUAAAUACAUAUGAAAAUUAUAGAGAGGUGCCACAUCACCUUGUCUAUGUUUCUCCUUUAAAUUAUAUUAAGAUUAAGAUUAGUGAAUAAGUUUAUUGGAAGGUUUCUGGUUAAAAAUAAUAAUAAUAAAUGGACAUUAAAUGAAUAGUGGUUGAUCAAAUAUUGGCCCCACCCUCAUAGUUGGUCCUUGUCGCAAACGGAUCAAACAAGCAUAAACUACUCUUCUUCUCCAUCUUCAUCUUCAAUAUAAAUCUCAUACUGCUUUAUGGGAGGGUUGAUCAAAUAUUGGCCCCACUCUCAUACUGCUUUAUGGCAGAAAAUGAGUCGUUAUUAGGGAAGAACAACGGCGGGGAAGUGGUGCUAGCUGAGCGAAAAAGUGAAGCAACUCAAAGGAAAACUACUACACCUUCUUCUUGUAUUGUUUCUCUCGAUGUCUUUCGAGGCCUCUGCGUUUUUGUAAGCAAAUUUAAUUUCUACCUAGAUUUUGUUUACUGAUGAGAUAACAGAUUAAGAUUCCACCUAGAAUUUUUGGGGAAACAGAUUAGAAUGAUUUUCCUUUAUUUAUGUUUUCGGGAAUAUCGGAACCUGGAGUUGGUACAGUCCACGACUUUUCUUUCGUCUUUUUCUGCUUUUAAAAUUCUUAUUGGCAGCAGAAAAAAUGAUUUUUAGUUUUCAUUUUCCCCUAAAUUUGUUUAAAAUUGAGUGAGUUAGCAACGAAGUAUAUUGAAGAGUGUGUUUAGUUUUCCCUUUGUGGAAGAACGGAUGACGUAAUAGGUAAGGUUUGGAUCCGAAAGCAUGUGGUUAUGCAGCUCUAGAAAAUGUUAUAGCGUGUGCUGGGGAACAGGUAUCUCUUAGCACACAAUUAUACAUUACGUGCUUUUAAGUUUCCAUAUCUAGUAGCGGAAUUCUCGAUAUUGAGAAGGCGUAAAUAGUGAAUGAGUGGAGUUCAGUUUUACAUUGGUUAAGUAAGUAAAUAUUUGUUAUAAGUCCACCGCACUACUGCAUCUGAAGGCAGUGCACUGCCACUAAAAAGGGAAGUCCCCUAUAAAAUUGCUAGUACAAGAUGAACUCAUAUUGGCCAAAAUGGAGAGAAGAAAAUGGUAGAGAAAUUUAGCAGAAAGCUAUCACUUUGUUGAUGGGACAUUUUGAUCCCCUUUUGUAUCUCAUGCUCCCCUGGUUCUAGAGAAAGAGUCAACCAAGUAUCUAUCUCAAAGAAAUCUUUAAAAUGAGCCUCAAAACCACAUUCACAAAGAAGAUAUGGCCACCUCUCUAAGUUUCAGAACCCUUUAGAUUGUUUUAUUCGUGCUCAUAACAACUACAAUCACUUGCAUAUGUCCCUACAAAUAUCGUUUCCCAAUGUUCAUUGUAAGAUUGCUUCUUUAACUACUAGGCUCCUUGCUUUAAGAUUUGGAUUGAUUGCUUAGUUUCUUUAAUGGUGAUUUUGAUAACUAUCCUUGUCCAUGUUUAUAUUAAGACAACAGAGUUCUUGUCACGAUCCAAUCCACUUAAGCCAUGACCUGCGCUUAGUAGCCUGCUUAUAACAUAACAAGAUUUAACAAAGAAGGAGAAAGACCAAUCCUCUCCGAUUUCUGCAGGGUCUUGAUCAUGCAUAUGGUGCACAACAUAUGCAUGAUUAAGUUUUUGCUUAAACCGAUGCUCCUUGAGUCAGUCUUGUAAAUUUGAUUUGUGCUAGUAAAGAGGUGACUUGGAACUUCUAAAGUUUUGUGGUAGUCAAUCCAAGCAUUGCUCACUAUCCAUGGAAUGGUGUCCGCUAGGCAGACUUUGUAAUGCCUUUCUUCCUCUUUGUUGUUGGAGUUCCCCUGGCAAUUGUAAAUACGGUAUCUAUAAUUUGAUCUUCAGAUAAAAUCGUGGACAUAAACUCAAUCAUUAUGAAAGAUAUAGGCUUAUGAUGCAUAGUGCUCAGACUUGCAUUAUGAUAUUUUGUACUAUGUGUUGUCAAUUUAUAAAUAAAUCAUCUGAGUAAGAUCAUGCCUGUCACCAGGUGGUUGUUGCUCUUAGCACUUUCUGAACCUUUUCCUCUUUCAAAACUGCAGAUAGUUUUAGACAGAACUGAGGCAACCUUGAAAGUGUGAUUAGGACCUUGAAACUUUUUAUCCUUGGCAUUUUCCUUCAAAGUAAUUUUGUGUGCUGGCAUAUCUCAAAUCAAUAUUACGGCUCACUACUGAUGUCGAUCGCUUAACAAUAUUCUGCAACUUAAGCCUGUAUAUAUGUCUUUUGAAAUGGAUCUUCUAUACCCCAUACAUUGCAACAAACGAGUCUGUUUUAAUUUUGUAGUAUACUAGAUAAGAUAUUGCUCCGGUUCUUACAAAUGAAACGAAGUUCAAUGAUGGAAUGUUUUUCUUCUUGAGAACUUGCACAUUCAAAAGACCAGCUAGCUCGUCGCUGUCUGGCAUUUUAAGCCUUGGUCCAUCAGCUUCUGUACAAUCUAGGAGCUGCAUGUAAAAAAAGCUCUCGAGCUCGGCUAGCUACAGUUAGUUAAAUAAACCAGGUAAGUAUAAAGGCCUUUCACAAUGGACAGCUAACAACAUGAAGAAAGAGAGAUGUUUAAUCAACAAGAAUGUAACCUUUGGGGUGGCCCAGUGGUUUGAGCUUGGGACUUCCAUGUUGGAGGUCUCAAGUUCGAAACCCCUUGCUAGCGAAAGCAAGGGGUUUGCCUUCUGGGUCGAGCUCGUCACACCAGGCUUGCCUAGUGCGGGUUACCUCUCCUACGUGGUUUGCGAGCUAUUGCAUAGGAGCGGGGGUUUUACCCUGUGCGCACCCAAAGGGUAGCGGCUGCGUGAAGGUACCAUAGUUUAAUUCCUGAGAGGAAAAGCAUCAGCAGAAAAUAGUCAAAAUUGAAGAUUUUACUGUACCAAGUAACAUAAUACAAUACAUCUUCUAACAUAUGUUUUUAGCUAGGAUACAGAUUGUUGGAUUCUAUGCUUUUCUUGUGUGGAUGAAGGGCUUUCCUGCUUUGCUCUUGAUGACCUUUUCUUUUUAUUAGGAAGUAAGACAAACGAAAUGAGAAUUAAGAGAAAUUGAUUACUCCCUUGAGCCAUUGGAGUUUAAAUAACUAAGUGUACAUAUUCUAAGAAAGGAAAAGAGAAUCAAAUUACAUAAUUACAGGAGUAAAUCAAGAUAUACAAUAUUUACUGGAUCCUAGAAUACUCUAGAAUAUCUAUGAAAUUCUAAAACUCCCCCUAAAACUGGUGCAUAUAAAUCGAUGUACCAAGGUUGUUACAAAUGUAGAUAAUGCGAGAACCAAUGAGGCACUUGGUGAAAAUAUCAACAAGUUGAUCAUUUGACUCACAUAUUUUGUGACAUGUCUCCUGCGAGUAUUUUUUUCUCUAAACCGAGGGUCUUCUGGAAAUUUCCCAAGGAGGUAGAAGUAAGGUUUGCAUACACUCUAACCCUUCUCAGAUCCCACUUAUGGGUUUCACUUUGUCUCUUGUUGUUGUUGUUGAAGUGACAAUUGAUCUCAUUGUGUUUAGUUCUCUCAUGAAACAUCAGACUUGAUGCAAUAUGAAGAGUAGUCUGCUUAUUGCACAUAAGAUCCAUUGGAUUGAUUACUCCAAACUUCAAUUCUUUGACCUACUAGUUAAUCCAAUUAGUUCUCAAGUUGUCAUAACCAUUGCUCGGUAUUCAGCUUCUGCACUAGAUCGAGCCAUUGCAUUUGUCCUUACUUUUCUAAGAUUCCACAUUAACUCCUACCGGAGCACAAUAUCUAAAUAUAGACCGCCUAGCUGAAGGUGAUCCUACCCCAUCGACAUCUGUGUAUUCAACAAUCUUCUCAUGACCUCAAUUGUAAUUGUUUUUACCUAUAGUUGUUUACUAUCAUUAACAGAAGUAGUUGAGUUGAUAGGUAGUUAAAAGCAGUUCCAGAAAUUUGUUAAAAAGGACACUGUUCAUUUCAGGAAAACAGUACUAACUAAUUUUCCCUCCAAAUUUUGUGGAACCUUAGAACUAGUAUAAGUACUUGUAGUCUCAUAGCUAAGAGACAUCUUUUGGAGAAAGAAGAGAAGUUAAAGAGUAGUUGUUCCAUAAAUCUUUCAUUCUAUUGUUGUAGAGGAGCAGUUUCUCUACAACAAUUAUCAUUUUUCCCCAUUAAUUGUGGAGUCAUAUCACAUCGUUAAAAUGCAAUUAUUUGCUUUGAGUUUAUGAAUUGGAGAAUACGAACAAUUGCAUCCCAAUGACUAUCGCAUGGAGAUUCCAUAACUGGAUUAUAACACUCACAAGAAAGACAAUGUCAGGUCAAGUUACUCUGAGAUAAUUGAACUUACUACCUGGCGAUCACUAAAUGAUUUCUCUUGUUGUGGUAGAAGUUCAAUGUUCAGGUAGAUAAGAGUGUCAAUGGGUCUAUCAUAUUUGUCUAUUACAAGUCGAUAUGAGUAUCAAUGGGUCUACAACUUGUCAUACUUAUCUCCUUAAGGAUGUCUAGGGCAAACUUACACUAUGAGAUGACAAUUCCUAAUUUGGAGGUGUGACCUCAAUGUCUAGAGAAUACCUCAAUAUGCCUAGGUCCUUCGUCUAGAAAUAUUGGAAGAGAUGUUGAUUCAAUUUAAAGCACAAAUUAUAAGAAGUAUAAAAAGGGCACCCUAGUGCACUAAGGCUCCUGCAAUGCGCAGGGUCUGGGGAAGGGCCCGAUAAUAAGGGCCUAUUGUAGGCAGCCUUACCUUGUAUUUCUGCCUGUGGUUGUUUUCAAGUUUUGAACCCGUGACCUCCUGGUCUAAUGGUAGCAACUUUACCAGUUACUCCAAGACUCCCCUUCAAAUUAUAAGUAUGUCGAUAAAAUACAAAAUGUUCAGCCUCACUAUGAGUCAUACCAACCUCUUGAAUGACUAUGCUGAACUUAUCAAACUGUGCUCAAGGGGACUAUUCAAACCAUAUAGGAUCGACACAACUGGCAUACAAGAACUCAGACUUUGCCGGGCAAUAUCACGAUGGAUAAAAACUUUUUUAAGUCUAGCUAAUAAAGAGUCCAAUGACUAACAACAAUCAUGGAUAUAUGAAGGCAAAAAAUGCUAUUUUAGCAACGGGGAGAUAGUAUCACUAUGAUCAAGCCCAAAUAUUUGAGUAUAACCUUUGAUAAAAAGGUGGGCUUUAAGUCGACCAAUUUGACCAUCUGAAUCAACUUUGACCGGAUACAACCACCGCAACUAACAAGUGAUUUACCUGGAGGUAGAGGAAUAAGCUUCCAAGUGCCACUAUCAUGUAAAAAAAUACAUCUCUUCAAUCAUAGCCUGUCGCCAUUUAGAAUAACAUUACGCUUCACUUGUGGACUCAGGGAUAGAAAUAGAGGACAAAGAUUACACAAAGGCAUAAUGAAGUGAUAAUAAACUAUGAUAGCUCAAACAAGUAUAAUGGGGAUUGGGAUUACGAGUGGAUUGAAUACCUUUCCGAAAUGCAAUCUGUGGACUAGUGAAAGACAAGUCCCUAGUAGGCGAAAGAUUCAGCUUAAGACUUGAAUCAUUUGUACGUGAUGUUGGACAUUAAAGUCGAGGGUAAAUCAAGAAUGGUGGAGUUGUAGAAGGUUAAAAAGUUGAACUAGAAUUGUAGGUGAUUGAACUAGAGUUAUAGGUAAGGGAAUUGGAGUUGUAGGUGAUGAUGAAGGGAAGAUUAUUGAAUCUCCAAAAGAUGGAAUUAGUAACAGCCUUAAAAAUGUCUAAGUGAUCACCUGGAUUGGUGAAGUAUGGCUGGGUUUCAAAUAAAGUAACAUCAACAAACAUAAGACACUGUUGAGAUUAGGUGAAUAGCAUCGAUAUCCCUUUUGUGUCCUCUAGUAAACUAGAAAUGCUCAUUUAAGGGCACAAGGAACUAUCUUAUUAUUUCUGGAGUAAGGUUGUGAACAAACCACAUGCUCUCAGAGACACAAGAUGGAAGGGAAAGAAAACAUAAUAUUCUGGAUAUCCGAGGAUGACAUACAAUUAAUAAGAUAAUAGAAUAUGAAAUUGCAUCCCGAAAAAACACAACAAAAUAUGAGAUUGUAUGUAUAGGGAAUGAGAAUCUCAAUAACUACUUAUUCUUCAAUCUUGAACAACUAUGACCUCAAAUCUUCUCUAUUAAAUAGCAAGACCUCCAUUCUUAACUAGAGCCGUAUAAAUGGGCUUAGCCUAUGGGGCUGGCCCAACCCAAUCCGUUAUUGGUGUAGGGUUAUGAUAGAAUUUUUCAAGCGCAUUUAAAACUAACGCUUAUAAGCCCGAUCCAUAUAAGCCCUUGGCCCUUGAGGCUUGAUCGGGGUCAGGCCGGGGUCCGCUCACGGGCCAAAACUAUUUAUUUGAGGGUAACUUACAGAAAUCUCACUAGUGUAUGAGCUAAUUACUUAGAUGAACAUUGUGUUGUAAUAUUACGAAUCUUAUUUGAUUUUUGUGUGUCCAGAUACAUGUAUCUCGAGAUACAUAGACUUAAAAUUAUGUGUAAUUUGUUCUAGAUACACUCUAUCCAAGUAGAUUCACAUGUAUCUAGGAUACAUAGAGUACAAAUCACGCGCCCUCACCUCCCUCCCAUCUCACUCACCACUCUCCUAUCUUGCUCGCGUAUUUGGGACGCAUCACACCAGAUACAUGUAUUUCGCGUAUCUAGCAUCCUAGAUACAUGCUAAUCACACUAAAUAUUUUUCUAGUGAUAUUGAAACAACACCAUUGUUUGCCAUAUUUGAGUUGAAAAUUUUCUCAUUUUCUUGAUGUUAUAGAAAUUUAAGUUUUAAAGAAAAAAAAAGGCUAGCCCGCCCCAACACGCGUCCCUUCUACGGUUAGGUUGGGUUGGGUUGAGCAUUUUCAGACCCUUCCAAAUGAAGGGCUGGCCCGCCCUAGCCCAUCAAAUUUCUUAGCCCGCAAGGCUUGGGCUGGCCCUUUUUGACAACUCUAUUCUUGACCAUAGAGCAAUUCGAGUGGUGAGAAUUGUAAUUGUUAGGACUCCUUUCUCUCUCUCUCCCUUUGUGCUCUUUCUUCUUAUUGGCCAAUCCGGGAAGGACCGUACUCCUGUUCCUAUGGGGCCUUCGAGUCUCCCAAAAGUUGCUAAUUAAUCUACUAGUUGGUCCAAUUUUUCAGAGAUAAUACUAUACCUGCUAAAACUCAAAUUUCUGCAUCAUCUCACACAAUUCUCCUACCUCUGAAGGAGGGGUUCCACUUGUUGGUUCUCCAAUUGCCCUAGUGCCCUUCGCCAUUGAUGCCAAGGAUACAAUAGCUCUUAUACCACUGUUAACAAAAUUCUAGGAGCUCAACUGUAAGCUUAAGAAUUCUAAGCUAAAACAGGAACUCUACAAAGUAAUUCGAGUGAAAUGUAAUUGAGACAAAUGGGGGAGGAGAAUUGUAGAAGAAGAAGAAGAUUGUAAUUGAGACAAAUGUAAAUGUAUUCAUGAUCAAUCAAUAGAGGAUUACUUCUCUUUAUAUGUACUUUGAUCAGAUCUAACUUGGCUGAGGCCAACUGCCACUAACAAAAUUUCCCGCCCUGAGUGUAUUCAAAAACUCCUAACUAACAUAACCAACUGAAAUGCUGACAUGUCAUCCCUAACGAAUUAUAUGCUUUAUCUCCCCUAUGUAAAUCAUGUAUCAGUACUCGCCGGAGAAGUGGACUGUCUAGUUGGAAAGUUGUUAGAAAGUAUUGGAACUCUGAUGGGUGAUGUUGAAUUGAGGAGGUGAGUUCUGCAGAAGAAUGAACAUCGCCAGAGAGUCGUUGGACUUCCUCCCACGCACCAGCACAUGGGUGAAUCUUGCCGGCAAAUCAAACUUCUUUCCGGCGUGUGACAACGCAUGAAAAGUUUGAUGAUAAUGGGUUUUCUGGUGUUUGUUUGCCAAAGAGUUCCAAACACGGUGGUGGUAUUGGUUGAAGCUCAAUGGCCGCCGACUGACUUAAGUAAUUUCUAUAGAGAAUGAAAUGAUAAUAGGUAUAAGGAGAUGUGCAAAAUAUUAUAUGGACUUCAGAAACAAGGAUUUAAGAUCAAUUCUAAUAUAUUGGAGUUCAUUAAGAAUCAUCGUGCUACUUUAGAAAAAGUAGGUCUUCUUAUGCCAGAAUACUAGAACACAUGAAUCUGAAAGAAGCCUACGAUUGGGUUUCAUUGUUCAAAAAAUGAUUCGCGUUGUAUAAUAGGUUAAAAAAAUGCUCUCAGGCACUUUAAUCGAGGUCUGUCAGCUUUUAGCUUAAAUUAUUCAAACUCUAGGUUUCAGAUGGGUGGAUCCAGCAAGGCUGCCGGACCACACCCAAUAGGGGAGGAUAUCAUCUUUUACAAUGCAGGGUUCAAGUCCUACGACAUUAUGAGAUGCAAAGAUGAGGUUGGAAAAUGGUUUGAAUGGGUGGAGCGCAGCAGAAAAUUGAUGAGAGGAGUGAAAGUUAGCAUUAAAGUCCUGAAAUGGGUAGUUGCAGUAUUUAUUGAAGCUUCAAAGGUACACGGAAGGACAGUAAAGAGGUGGAACCUGAAGGACCACUUUGCAGAGUUUUAUUGCACUCUUAAAUACAAUGAAAGUGGAAGAUACAUCAGCUUCAUAGCAUUACAAGAUCAAAACAAGUCUGUCAUAAUAACUCCGGAGUCCACACCCAAAGGAGGCUGGGGGAAUAUAGCUCACAAGAUUGCUGGGUUCAUUUAUGAGCCAAUCAAAACACAGGGGACAGCAGUGCAGGACAGAAAACAGCUUCACAAGUCUUACAAAGAAGCCCUCUUCCAAGAUAGAUGGAUGACGGAGGCAACAGAGAAGGCCGAAAUACAGAGUACAGCGAACAAAGUAAGAAUCACAGGUGGUGAAUCGCAGCCAGUUAAUGAUCUCUUGAAUAGGUGCAUCGUAGGAAAAUUUCAAUGUCAAGCAGACGAAACCCCUAGUUUGAACGAUGUAAGAAGAUGGGCUUGUAAUUCGUGGAAGAUGGCGAUACAAGUCAAAGUGUAUGCCAUGAAUGAUGGGUAUUUCAUGUUUGAAUUGCCAUCCAAAGUGGCAGCAGAGCAUGUAUUAACAGGUCAAUGGAUCUGGAGGAAGAUGAAGUUGGGGCUCAAAUGGUGGAAACCAACGAUAGGCUGCUGGCCAGCAGAGAUAAGGAGAGAUUGGGUAUGGAUUAGGUUGCUGGGUUUACCUAUGAAUUUGUGGUCACCAAAAGUCUUCAAGGAGAUCGGUGACAUAUGUGGAGACUUUAUCGAGACGGAGGAGGAGACUUCUCUCAAGAAUCACCUUCAUUUGGCCAGAAUCAAAGUACGAGGUGAUAGGGAGAGGAUUCCCAGAGAAGUAGAAGUAACCUGCGAUGGCUUUACUUACACCAUUCCGGUGUGGUAUGAAGCUCCAGUCACAGUAAGAUUAUCAGAAGAGAGGAGAGAGGAGAAAGGCAAAUACUCAGUUGUCAAUACCCAGGAUCAGCUUUUGUAGAAGAUAAAGGAGGCACAACCUGCAAAAAAAAUGGAUGGGCACGUGGGGACUUCAAGUGAGGGGUCCCGCAUGCAAGUGGGCCUGAGACUUAAAAGGAGGGGAAAAUAAUGUGUAUAGCAGGAAAAAGCUAGGUCAAAAGGAAUUGUCUUUGGGCCAAAAAAUUUUGGACCCAAUUGUUGUGGAAAAUUCUAGUGCCCAAACACCAAUUACCUAUCCUGUAGAUAUAAUAAAUGAAUAUCGAGAUAUUAGCAAACAAAGCAAAGGAAAACAAAUUUCAACGCUAGAUCACGCAAUGGAAUAGAGACCGAGGGGAGCUGGAAGUCGCGAGACAGGAUAACAUGCGAUCACACAAAAGUUAUAAUUAUAAGAAUUAUCAAUAGUAGUGACCAACAUAUUAAUGUUUCAACCACUGGAGGAGGAGAAUUUAGACGGAGGUACAGAGGAAGCUAUUCCAUUGGGUAUCCAAUUUCCAGAAUAAGACAUGAGCACUUCGGACUGGAUACAACAAAAUAUAACCAAACUAAGCUCAGAAUUCGGGGUUAAUUUCAAAGGGUGUGAGGAAAAGGCGAAGGAGUUGUUGAUGAAGAUCGAUAGCAAUAAACAAGGAAACAGGGGGAACAGAGUAAACAAACAACAGGCAAGAGGAAAGGGCUAUUAGAACUAAAAAGGCUGCAAUUGGAUUCUAAGUUCUAUAGCAAUGGUACUAGAAGUAAAGGGGGGGGGGAGGGGUUUGGCCAUUAUGGAUCAAUGAAUUUAAACAUUGUGUCAUGGAAUGUGAGGGGGCUGAAUUGUGGGAGGAAAAGGAGUAUUAUCAGGAACAUGAUAAGAACUUGGAAAGCAGAUGUGGUAUGUUUUCAAGAGACAAAAAUGGAGGGGGAGAUUGCUAAUAAAGUUAAGGAAAUCUGGGGUAGUAGGUGGGCAGAUUACGUGCAACUCGAAGCUAGUGGGACGAGGGGAGGCAUAGUAAUUAUGUGGGAUAAAAGAAGAUGGGAUGGGGAAGUGAAUAGUGUGGGUGCAUUUUCAGUUUCUGUUUGUUUCUCUGGGAAGAAUCUGGAUUUAAAAUGGCAUCUAACAGGUGUCUACGCCCCGAAUGAUAGAGCAGAAAGGGAAGAAACUUGGUGGGAGCUAGGGGCAGCAAGAGGUCUAUUCACGGGCCCUUGGGUCCUAUGUGGGGAUUUCAACACUGUGAGGUAUCCUUCUGAGAAGUACAACUGUAACAGAAUCAACAGGGCAAUGACAGAGCUAUCAGAGUUCAUUGAAGACAUGGAAUUAAUGGACUUAGAUUUAGCAGGGGGAGAGUUCACUUGGAGAAGAGGGGACAGACACUCCACAGCAGCAAGGCUAGACAGGUUUCUAAUCUCUGAAGAAUGGGACUCAAAUUUCAGGAACAUUAAACAAUCUGCCUUACAGAGAGUGGUCUCAGAUCACUCUCCAUUAAUGCUACAAUGUGGAGAAUGGGGGACUACCAAAUCAUAUUUCAAGUUCGAAAAUUGGUGGUUGACUACUGAUGGAUUUAAUGAUAGAGUUAAGACCUGGUGGGAGUCUUUUCGCUUCCAUGGAAAACCAGACUUUGUACUGGUAGCGAAGCUAAGGGCCUUGAAAGCUAAGUUGAAAGAGUGGAGCAAGACCAGGCAAGGCAAUUUGAGUCAACAGAAGCAAUUGGUACUAAACCUAUUAGCAGAAUUUGAAAUGAUACAGGACCAGAGAAUUUUGGAGGAAGAGGAGAUAGCUUCCAAAUUGGCUCUUACUGUUGAGUUUGAGGAGAUGGCUAAAAAAGAGGAAACAACAUGGAGACAGAGAUCUAGGGCAGUAUGGCUUAAACAGGGGGAUAGGAAUACGAGCUUCUUCCACAAAACAGCAAAUGCACAUAGAAGAGUCAACACUAUUGAUAAGAUUAAAGUCAGAGAUGAGCUACUGACUGAGCCUGCUGAGAUACAAAAGGAGAUCACAGAAUACUAUGAGAAGUUAUAUGCUGAAACUGAGGACUGGAGACCAGACUUAGAAAUGAUAGGGUGCCCUACGAUUGAUGAGGAUGACAAUAACCAACUGAUGGCCCCUUUUGAAGCACAGGAAAUCCUAGAAGGCAUCAAAGCAUGUGCCGGGGACAAGACCCCUGGCCCAGAUGGUUUCUCCAUGGCUUUCUUUAGCCAGUGUUGGGAAGUCAUCAAAAAAGAAGUGGUGGCAGCAGUUCAAAACUUCCAUGAGGAAGGGGUAUUUGAGAAGAGUAUAAAUGCUACUUUUGUGACCUUGAUACCCAAGAAAACGGGGGCUGUGGAACUAAAAGACUUCAGACCAAUAAGUCUAGUAGGAGGAGUGUACAAGAUAAUUGCAAAACUUUUUGCCGAAAGACUGAAAAAAGUGAUACAUAAGCUAGUGGAUAGACAGCAAAUGGCUUUCAUCAAGAAUAGGCAGAUUAUUGAUAGCCAAUGAAAGUGUAGACUCCAGAGAGAGAGACAAGAAACCAGGGAUCCUAUGUAAACUGGAUAUCCAGAAGGCAUAUGAUCAUUUGAAUUGGAACUUUUUGAUGAAUCUGUUACAAAGGAUGGGAUUUGGAGCAAAAUAGCUAAAAUGGAUUAGACAGUGCAUAAGCUCAGUGAAAUUCUCUAUUCUGAUCAACAGAAGCCCAUGUGGCUUCUUCUCGUCAUACAGAGGUCUGAGACAAGGGGAUCCCUUAUCCCCUUUUCUCUUUAUCUUGGCCAUGGAAGGACUAAACAACCUAUUUCAGACAGCAAAAGUAAAGGGCUAGAUCAGAGGUUUCCAAGUGGGAAAUAAUACAAGAAAUAAUCUUGAGAUUACUCAUCUACAAUAUGCAGAUGACACUUCAGUUUUUUGUGAUGCAGUAGAGGAGCAGAUGCUGAUUUUGAGGGUCAUCUUCAAUAUUUUUGAGGCUGUUUCAUGUCUACACAUAAACUGGAGCAAGAGUUUCAUCUAUCCAGUCCACACAGUGAUAAAUAUUGAAGACCUAGACAAUUCACUAGGAGGGAAAGUGGGUGAAUUACCAACAACCUACUUGGGAAUGCCUUUGGGGUCUAAGAGUAAGUCAAAAGAAAUAUGGAGUGGAGUAAUUGAGAAAUGUGAAAGGAAGCUUGCAAACUGGAAGUAUCAAUAUUUAUCAUCAGGUGGCAGACUAACUCUAGUUAACGGUGUCCUGGAUGCCCUUCCCUCGUACAUGAUGUCAUUAUUCCCUAUACCAGCCAAGGUAACCAAGAGGUUGGAUGCGAUUAGGAGGAACUUCUUAUGGCAGGGAAGCAAAGAUAAGAGAAAGUACCAUUUGGUCAAAUGGGAGGAAUUGCUGGUAAGUAAGAGAGGCGGUGGACUCAAUAUCAUAGAGCUGAAAACCCAAAACAAGAGUUUGAUGAUGAAAUGGUUGUGGAAAUUUGUCUCACCAGAAGUAUUUCUAUGGAAGGAACCACCAGAAGUAUCUCUAUGGAAGGAAGUAAUAAUAGAAAAAUAUGGCAUGGAGGAUAAAUGGAUGACAGAGGUGAUCACCAACCCUUACAAUUGUAGUGUAUGGAGGUCUAUCAGGAACCUAUGGCAGCUGGUCAAAGAGAGAACAAGCUGCAAGGUGGGCAAUGGAGAAAAAGUAGCUUUUUGGAAUGACAUUUGGUGUGGACAGGAAGCACUCAAACAUACUUUCCCUGUACUACAUAGUCUGAGCCAAGGACAAGAAGCAACAGUGGCAGAGUUAUGGACAGGACAAGGGUGGAACCUGUUUCUAAGAAGGGGACUAAAUGAUUGGGAGAUGACAACCAUAGCAAGAUUUCAUGAUACAAUGCAAAUGGCUACCAAUCUGACAGGAGAGGAAGAUAGACUAGUAUGGAAGGGGGAGAGAGGGGGAGAGUUCACUGUAAAAUCAGUAUACAAUCAACAUACAGAGAACUCAAUCAGCAUACAGAGAACUCAGGUCUACGGAGGAGCAGCAUGCAGGAUGGCCCUGGAGGAUGAUCUGGAGAACAGAAAUUCCCUACAAGGUGAAUUACUUCACAUGGCUCUUGGCAAAGUAGGCAGUCUUGACACAUGAGAACCCAAUCUACUUAAACAAGAGGAAACCCAAUCUACGCUCUAGUUGCUAUCUAUGUGAAGAACAGGUGGAGACAGUCAACCAUCUCUUUUUACACUGCAAAUGGACUGAUCAAUUGUGGCAGAUGUUUAUCCAAAAGAGGAAGAUUAAGUGGACAAAGCCUGGGAGUAUUAUAGAAGUCCUACAAUGCUGGAACAGGGAUGGAAAUGCAGGAAAAAAUGAGAAGAGAUGGAGGAUUGUCCCAGCUUGUAUUUGGUGGACAAUUUGAAAGGAUAGGAAUCAAGGAUGCUUUGAAGGAAAACAGAACAAUAUCCGGAAGAUAAAGACUAAUUGCCUAGGGCUUUAUUAUUUUUGGUGUAAGCAAGUAGUGAUAGGAGAUGCUGAAAAUGUGUUUAUUAUUGACUGGUUGUAACUAGAAGAUCCUAGGAAUGAUGUAAGUAAAACUUUUUGGAGGGGGACUACACUUUGAUGUAGUAUACCUGUGGAUAUAUAGAAGUAAUGUUACCUUUGUCAAAAAAAAAAAUGAUUCGCAAAGAAACGAGAGAUUUUGUUUACGGAUUUUUGAGUAGAAUACGAUUGUGAAGUGUAUAAGAAAAGGUUUGUAUGGCUUAAACGCGUGUGGAGAUAUCUAUGAUAUUUGUCUUUCUUCUCUUUUAUUGUUGUAUUGUCGUUUUAUGUUCUCUGAAAAUAUAAUUUCAAUUUUCUAUUCAAUUCAAAAUUUAAAUUGAAGUAUGAUACUUUAUAUCAAAUUGGUAUAUCAAUACCGAUUCAAUCUGAGCUCUUGGAAUUGGAAUAAAUUUGGUAGCGGAUUGCGAAAUCUUGGUGAUCUUCUCUAUCUAAUGAAUGGAGAGUCCUCUUUAAAAUCGUCCGCUCAUAACCUAGUAGAUAAAAUACAUUACAUAGUCCAGGGAUUGUCGACUUACCCGUUUAGUGACUUUGGCACUGGACGUUCCCAUUUAAAUUUUUUGUUUAAAGUUCGAUUUUUUCAGAGGGCAAAAGACAAUAUGAACGUUCUAUCAUGUUCCAUCAAUACUCUUAAGGGGAUAUACAAUAUAUUCGGUGUGGAAGUAGGCCAACAUUUCUAUUGGCAAAUAAGGGGUUUCCAAAUACAUGACCAAGUACCCUGCGCACAUUAGUCAAGGCCCGCGUACAAAUGCACACCCCUGCGCGCAUUGCCUAAGGGACAAUGGCAAGCCCCUGCGCGCAUCACCCAAGCGACAUCGGCGGACCCCUGCACACAUCAGUUAGGCGACAUCGGAUGAGGCCUGCGCACAAAGGCAAGUUUGUGCGCACAUUUGCAAAGCGAAAUCUAUCAGUUCCUGCGCACAAGGCCAGGCCUCUGCGCGCAUUUGUUAGGCGACAUUGACAGAGCCCUACGAACGUCCAAAAAGCUACAUUGACCAAGGCCCGCGCUGAACGGUAGGCCCUGCGCAUUGUCCAAGCUACAUUGGCAUACCCCUCCGCACAUCAGUCAGGCGACAUUGGCCAAGGCCCACACACAACGGCAGACCCUUGCGCAUAUCGGCCAAGCGACAUCGAACGAUGCCGCGCACAAGCGCAAACCCAUGCACGCAUUACCCAGGCGACAUCGGCUGAGGUGCCCGCGUCCACCUGACAUUGUCUAAUGUCAUCGCUUAUUUUUUGGAAAAUUUUGAUAUAAAAAAUAAAUAAUUUUUUGUUGACAACUAUUAUUUUUGUUAUGUGAAAGUCAUUUGUGCAAGCCGAAAUGUGUAUGAUGGAGUUUUUCUAUUUUUUCUAUUUUUUUCCUAUUAAAUUAUUUUUUCCGGAAAAUUUCAACGUAUAAAAAAAUAAUUUUUUUCUUUUUGAAAACUAUUAUUUUUUAUAUUUGAAAGUUAUUUGUGCAAGCAGAAUCGUGUUUGGUGGUUUCUUAUAUAUUUUUAUAUAUUUUUUUCCUAUUUAAUUAUUGUUUUUCCAAUUUCGAAAAUUCUGACUAAUUGUUACACAGUCAGUGGAAUGAUGCACAGUGGACAUGAGUUUCUUCUCCACUGGUAGUUGUACAGAAGAUUAAGUUUUACGCUGGUUCUUGUAUCAUGUCCAAAAGCAAGACAAACAAAAAGAGAAUCUAGAGAACCUCAGUUUAAUUAUUCCUUCAAGCCGUUGGGGUUUAAUAGCUAAGUGUACAUAUUCUAAGAAACAAAAAAGAGAAUCAAAAUACAUAAUUUCAGGAGUAAUUCAAGCUAUACUUUAUUUACAAGAUCCUAGAAUAUUUAUGAGAUUCUAACUCUACUGUUGUCUUCUGAUUUUGUUCGUAGUAUAUCAUUUUUCUUGUAUGAGAUAUCUAAACUUCUUGUUACUGAUUCCACAUUUGUUUCGUUUCAGGGGGUUACUUGCAUGGAAUAACUGGUUUAACCUAUGGUGUAGUUAUUGAAAGAAUAAGAUGGAUGGGAAUUUUGCUGGUAACUCUGAUAUUAUUUGUUUGCUUUUUUGGUAUUAGAUGACUAGAUUAGCUACAAGAUUAGUGUCGUUUCAUAUUAGCAUUGCCAGUUGAGAUGAGUGUCGUCGCAUUGCCUCCAACGACUUCUUUUGCUUUGUAGCUAUGUUUCUUAUCAUUCCUAAGUGGUUCGUAAGUCUUCCUUAGUUAGACUUCUAAAGACUGCUUUCGCUUGUGCCCCUUGUUCCUCUACUUUAGCCUGUGAAGUAUUGCUCUUGUUGUUCUUUUUAGUUUUGGUGAAAGUGCCUAUAUGGAUUAACUUCCUAUUUAGCUAUUUCAGUGAUAGAUGCUGAUUCUUCAAGAGUAGCAUCCUAACUUAGUUUCCCUGAUUAUUUAUUAUAAGAAGCUUUCAUUUUCUUGUUAGAAGGAUUACUAGUAACUAGGUCAAUAGAUAGGUGCAGAUGAAGAACUUAUGCAUGUGACCUGUUCAUUUCAAUUACUUGUUCAGAAUAUUAUACAUUUCUUUUCAUUUAUGCAGAGAAUAGCUGUUGGAUAUAUUAUGGCAGCUUUGUGCGAGAUAUGGCUUCUAUGUCAAGGGAUGAAAAGAGUUGCUUUUUUCAAAAAUUAUAUUUGGCAAUGGUAAGACAACUACAUCCCUGAUUUUCAGGUAGAUUUUUUGUUUUGAUUGUGCAAUUAUUAGGAGUACUACAUAUAUCUUCUGUUUCUGCAUCAUGAAGGUAUUGCUUUGGAAACUGAAAAGGAAGAAUAUAGAUCAAGUAUCUUAACAACGUUGAUUUUCUUUUUCCUUUUGAUAAAUGGAACAUAAUCAGAUAAACCGAGAGCUUAAACUAUUGCUUAUUGUACCAAACAAAAUCUUAGUCGCGGGCCAGUUUUUUUCAACUUCUCAUAAGUAGGCAUAAGUAGGCAUUUAUCCCCUUUAAGUUAGAUAAAAUUCUAGCUUGUCGCUGGUGGAAGUCAAACCCAUGACAUGUUGGUACAAGGUCUCAACCCAACUACUUGGACUAGGCCUCAUUGGUUAUUAACAGAUAGAUUAAAUAGGCAAAAGAAGAGAUAUUUGUAUGUUUUUAUUGGAAAACUAGUGAGUCCAACUGCAAUGAUAUUGACAGUCUUAUUAUCGAUCUUUUCUUUUUUUUUUUUUUGUUAUUGUACUAAGGGAACCCACAACCGCUACCCUUUGGGUGUGCACAGGGUAAAACCCCCGCUCCUAUGCAAUAGCUCGCAAACCACAUAGAAGAGGUAACCCACACUAGGCAAGCCCGGUGCGAUGAGCUCGACCCAGAAGGCAAACCCCUUGCUUUCGCUGGCAAGGGGUUUCGAACUUGAGACCUCCAACAUGGAAGUUCCAAGUCCAAACCACUGGGCCACCCCGAAGGGUUUAUCGAUCUUCCUUUUAUAUAGUGUUGUUUCUUGUCCUCUAUGGUUAUCAUUGUCUCUAGUUUUACCUAACAACAUUUUACUUCAUUUUUAGGUGUAUCAUGUUCCUAUUGUCUACUAUAUAUUGUGGGUUGUUAUAUGGUCUAUAUGUCCCUGACUGGCAAUUCAGUGUGUCGCAGUCAACAGGAAGCACCAUUUAUGAAUUAACAGCUGCUUGCUUUCUAUUCCCCUUAAUCUGAACUAUACUCUAAAAAGUAAAAACAAUGUGACUAUGUAAGUGGCUCCAAGCAACACGUAAGAACUCUACAGAAGCUUAAAGAUGAAUGUGAUGAGUCAUUACUGCUUUGAGUGAUAUCAGUACUAAUAUUUCUACCUUUGAUUUAGCAUGUAAAACGCUUGCUCAAAGUCAAGAACUUUUGUGAUCAAUUCUUAUCCUUUAGAAGCUUAUUAUCACUUUAAUACAAUAGAACCUUAAAAAUGACUGAUCCCUUGUUACCGCUUUGUGUAUGAUCAGUUCUAUUCCUAAUUGAUCAAGUUGGAGAACUUUUUCUAUCAGUUAUCUUAAUUUAUUUGUAAUAUAAGAUGGUAAAUUUUGUUGCUACUUGCAGGUAAAAUGUUCUGUUAUAGGAGAUCAUAGACCUGCAUGUAAUUCUGCUGGAAUGAUAGAUCGCUAUAUUCUUGGAAUAGAUCACUCUAUGCAAAACCUGUAUAUAGAAAUAUGAAGGUAACUUUAUACUGAACUGCACCGCUGACAUGCUUAUGUCCAGACCUCACAGUUAGCCCCUUCAUGACCAAUAUUAAUCUUUCACAGGAAUGCAAUGGAUCCAACAGUGACACAGUUUCUGAGAGUAUGCCCUCUUGGUGUCAUGCUGCUUUUGAUCCUGAAGGCAUUGUAAGGUAACAACCUAUCAUAUUUGUCUAUUACAAGUCAAUAUGAGUAUCAAUGGGUCUACAACUUGUCAUACUUAUCUCCUUAAGAAUCUCUAGGGCAAACUUACACUAUGAGAUGAAAAUUCUUAAUUUGGAGGUGUGACCUCAAUGCCUAGAGAAUACCUCAAUAUGCCUAGGUCCUUCAUCUGGAAAUGUUGGAAGAGAUGUUGAUUCAAUUUAAAAGCAGAAAUAAUAAGAAGAAUAAAAAAGGCACCCCAGUGCACUAAGGCUCCCGCAUGCGCAUGGUCUAGGGAAGGGCCCGACCAUAAGGGCCUAUUGUAUGCAGCCUUGCCUUGCAUUUCUUCCCGAGGUUGUUUCCAAGUUUUGAACCCGUGACCUCCUAGUCUCAUGGUAACAACUUUACCAGUUACUCCAAGGCUCCCCUUCAAAUUAUAAGAAGUAUGUCGAUACAAUAUAAAAUGAUCGGCCUCACUAUGAGUCAUACCAACCUCUUGAAUGACCGUGCUGAACUUAUCAAACUGUGCUCAAGGGGUCUAUUUCAAACCAUAUAGGAUUGACACAACUGGCAUACAAGACCUCAAACUCCGCCAAGCAAUAUCACGAUGGAUAAAAGCUUUCUUAAUGUCUAGCUAAUAACGAGGCUAAUGACUAACAACAAUCAUGGAUAUAUGAAGGCAAAAAAUGCUAUUUUAUCCACGGGGAGAAAGUAUCACUAUAAUCAAGUCCAAAUAUUUGAGUAUAACCUUUGAUAACACGGUGGGCUUUAAGUCGACCAGACCAUCUGAAUCAACUUUGAUUGGAUUCAACCACCGACAACCAACAAGUGAUUUACCUAGAGGUAGAGGAACAAGCUUCCAAGUGCCACUAGCAUGUAAAAAAAUACAUCACAUAUCCUGGAUCAAGUAAAAACUCUGGGGUUCCAACAAGCUACUGCCACAUCCAUUUCAUUAGGAAUUGAGAUCUUUUAACAAUACCUUCUAAGGGAUGGCUAGUUCAAGAUGCUGAACAACAAAGUUUGAUCUCUUCGACCAUAGCCUAUCGCCAUUCAGGAUGACAUAGCGCUUCACUUGUAGACUCGGGGAUAGAAAUAGAAGACAAAGAUUACACAAAGGCAUAAUGAAAUGAUAAUAAACUAUGAUAGCUCAAACAAGUAUUAUGGAGAUAGGGAUUACGAGUGGACUGAAUACCUAUUCGAAAUGAAAUCGGUGGACUAGUGAAAGACAAGUCCCUAGUAGGCUAAGGAUUCAGUUUAAGACUUGAAUCAUCUAUACGUGAUGUUGGACAUUGAAGGCGAUGAUAAAUCAAGAAUGAUGGAGUUGUAGAAGGUUGAAAAGUUGAACUAGAGUUGUAGGUGAUUGAACUGGAGCUAUACGUAAGGGAAUUGGAGUUGUAGGUGAUGAUGAAGGAAAGAUAGUUAUUGAAUCUCCAAAAGAUGGAAUUUGUAACAACCUCAAUAAUGUCUAAGUGAUCACCUGGAUUGGUGAAGUAUGGCUGGGUUUCAAAGAAAGUAACAUUUACAAAUAUAAGGCACCGAUGAAGAUCAGGUGAAUAGCAUCGAUAUGCCUUUUAUAUCCUCUAGUAACCUAGAAAUGCACAUUUAAGGGCACAAGGAACUAACUUAUUAUUUCUGGAGUAAGGUUGUGAACAAACCACAUGCUCUUGAAGACGCAAGAUGGAAGGGAAAGAAAACAUAAUAUUCAGGAUAGCCCAGGAUGGCAUGCGAUUAAUAAGAUAAUAGAAUAUGAAAAUUGCAUCCCGAAAAAAUGCAACAAAUAUGAGAUCGUAUGAAUAGGGAAUGAGAGUCUCAAUGAGAUGCCUAUUCUUCAAUCUUGAACAACCAUGACUUCAGAUUAUCUCCAUUAAAUCGCAAGACCUCCAUUCUUGAAUCUUGACCAUAGAGCAAUUCAAGUGGUGAGAAUUGUAAUUGUUAGGACUCCUUUCUCUCUCUCUCUCUCUCUCUCUCUCCCUUUGUACUCUUUCUUCUUAAUGGCCAUUUCGGGAAGGACCUUACUCCUGUUCCUAUGGGGUUUUAUUCCUUCGAGUCUCCCCAGAAGUUGCUAAUUGAUUCUUCAAUUCAACUACUGGUUGGUCCAAUUUUUUCAGAGGUGAAACUUUACCUGCUAAAACUCCAAUUUCUGCAUCAUCUCACACAAUUCUCCUACCUCGAAAGUAGGGGGUUCCACUGGUUGGUUCUCCAAUUGCCUUAGUGCCCUUCGCCAUUGAUGCCCAGGAUUCAAUAGCUCUAAUACCACUGUUAACAGAAUUCCUGGAGCUCAACUCUAAGCUCGAGAAUUCUAAGCUAAAAUAGGAACUCUACAAAUUAUCUUCUUCUCAAAAAAAAUAAAAUAGGAACUCUACAAAGUAAUUCGAGUGAAAUGUAAUUGAGACAAAUGGGGGAAGAGAAUUGUAGAAGAAGAAAUUUGUAAUUGAGACAAAUGUAAAUGUAUUCAUGAUCAAUCAAUAGAGGAUUACUUCUCUGUAUAGCUGUACUUGGAUCAGAUCUAACUUUUCUGAGGCCAAUUGCCACUAACAAACUUUCCCGCCCUUAGUGUAAUCAAAAACUCCUAACUAACAUAACCAAUUGAAAUGCUGACAUGUUAUCCCUAACGAAUUCUAUCCUUUAUCUUCCCCUAUGUAAAUCAUGCAUCAGUACUCGUCGGAGAAGUGGACUGCCUAGUUGGAAAGUUGUCAGAAAGCAGUGGAACGUGGAUGGGUGAUGUUGAAUUGAGGAGGCGAGUUCCACAGAAGAAUGAACGUCGCCAAAGAGUCGCUGGACUCCCUCGCAUGCACCGGCACAUGGGUGAAUCUCACCGGCAAAUCAGACUUCUUCCCGGCGUGUGACAACACAUAAAGAGUCUGAUGAUAAUGGGUUUUCUAGGGUUGGAUUGCCGAAGAGUUCCAAACACAGUGGUGGUAUUGGUUGAGGCAGUGCCCGCUGAUUCUGACUAAUUGUUGCACAGUCAUUGGAAUGAUGCACAGUGGACAAGAGUUUCUUCUCCGCUGGUAGUUGCACAGAAGAUUAAGUUUUAUGCUGAUUCUGAUAUCAUGUUCGAAAGUAAGACAAAUGAAAAGAAAAUCUAGAGAACCUCAACUUAAUUAUUCCUUUUAGGUGUUGGGGUUUUAAUAGCUAAGUGUACAUAUUCUAAGAAACAAAAAAGAGAAUCAAAAUACAUAAUAAGAACUAUCAUUCUCAUUUUAUCAUUUGAGCACAAAGAAAAUUGAAGAGAGAAGAAGAACAAAGGGAGAGGAAAUACCUUAAACUGCAGCAACACUUUCAGAAAAUGGAAGAUGAAGAGAGCUUUGAGUAGAUGAAGAGAUAUUUGAACAUGUGGGCUGUGGGAAGUGGAAAGAGAAAGUCAAGGUCUAUAAUUUGUAGUAAGUAUAGAUACGUGUGAUAUUUUAGAAUAAAGAUGUCUCCCAAAAAAUGAAUGAAAUUUAAUAGCCAAUAAAAUAGGGCCACAAAUAGUAAAAUAUUAAAUGCAUCACAGUACAAUCUAAAUAGCUUUUGGUCCAAUUUUGUAAUGCCGUGUUCGUCCAAGAAGCUGUCAUUUCUAAAUAAGGGGUAAUUUUAAAAAAAAUGAAUAUAAAUAUAUCUAAAUAAAAGUAAUAUAAGUAGCAAAUCCUACAAGGUUUUCUCACUCUUGCCUCUUUUUCGUCUCUCUAGCCUACAAUUAGGGUUUGUUGAUCGGUUCAUAAUUCUCCUUCAAAGAUGAUCAGUUUGAGGAGCUUUGACGGAGAGACCUUUGAGGUUGAUGAGGCGGUGGCGCUAGAAUCGGAGACAAUUAAACAUUUGAUAGAGGAUGACUGUGCUAACACCAGCAUCCCUCUACACAACGUGACUGGCAAGAUCUUAGCCAAGGUCAUCGAAUACUGCAAGCGCCAUGUGGAGGUUCCUAAAGCUGAAGAUAAGACCGCUAAAGAGGAUCUUAAGACUUUUGAUGCUGAAUUCGUCAAAGUUGAUCAGAGCACCCUUUUCAACCUCAUGCUGGUUUGGAUCAUUUUAAAUCUUUAUGUGUAUCUUAAUUGAUUCCUAUAUGUUUUUGAUUGUCGGUGGGAUUGUUCAAUUAUUGGUGUGUGUGAUUGUUUAUUCUUUAAUUAAUUUAUCUAAACAACUAGAAAGAGGCAAAAGUCAUUAACUUUUUUAUAUUCCAAAAUUAUAGUCGAAUAAAAUAUUUGACUCCUAUAGAAGUGUCAUAUAGCAGCUAAGGGUGUGGCUUGUUGGUUAAUGAAGUGGUUGAGAACCAUGAGAUAUUGGGUUAUGAUGUCCUGUGGAGACAAAAAACACUAGGUGAUUGUUCCUCCUCUGUCUGAACCUCGUGACAAAGUCACUUAGUACUUGUUACUGGUAGGAGGUGACAUGUAUCCCGUGGAAUUAGUCGAAGUGCGUGAAAGUUGGCCCAGACACCACAUUCAGAACUGAUGAAGUGCUUUUUUGGCUUGAUUGUUUUAUCUUCAUUUCUGCUUAUUCCUUGUUGGUAGUUGAGUAUAUUAUUAAUCUCAACAGUCUUUUGUUUAUUAGUCUAUUCUAUAAAGAUGUCUUCUUGUUGGUAGAACUUUGUAAAUUAUUAAAUCCACGAUUUUAUUUGUUAAUAUGUACAACAUACCAUGUGUAAUUCCACAAGUUCCUACCUUGUGAAGGUAGAGGGGUUGUUUCCCAAAGACCCUCGGCUCUAGUAUAACAUAUUAAAGCAUGAACAAAUAAACCAUUUUAGAAAAAAAAAAGAGUAGUAUCAAAAUCAAAAAGAAUGAACAUUUUUAUAUUUGGAAGUUCUUUAACUUUUCCAUUUACCCUUAGGGACAUGCUCUUGUAGGGUGUGUCCUAAUAGUUAAUGAAUGGGUUGAGAACCAUUUGGUGAUAGAGUUACUUGGUACCUGUUGCUGGUGGGAGAUGACAAGUAUCUCGUGGAAUUAGUUGAGGUGUGUAAAAGCCAGCCAAGACACCACAGUCAUAAAAAAAUAUGUCAUAUAACUAAGAAAUGAUGAAGUGGUUUUUUGGCUAGAUUGUUUUCCUUCAUUUCUAUUUGUUCCUUGUUGGUAGUUGUGUAUAUUAUUAAUUUCAACAAUCUUUGUUUAUUUGUCUAUUCCAAAAAGAUUACUUCUUAUUGGUAGAAUUGUGUAAAUUAUUAAAACUAUGAUUUUACUUGUUAAUAUGUACAACAUACCAUGUGUAAUUGCACAAGUGGGGUGUGGGACCUUACCUCCUACCUUGUGAAGAUAGAUGGGUAGUUUCCCAAAGACCUUCGGCUCUAGUAAAACAUAUUAAAGCAGGAACAAAUAAGCUAUUUUAGAAAAAGAAAAGAUGCAGUACCAAAACCAAAAAGAAUGAGCAUUUUUAUAUUUGGAAGUUCUUUAACUUUUCCACUUACCCUUUGUGACAUACUCUUAUAGGGUGUGGCCUAGUGGUCAAUGAAAUAGGUAAGAACCAUGGGGUCUUAGGUUCAAUUUUCAGUGGAGACAAAAUACUAGGUGAUUUUUCCCAUCUGUCCUAGUCUUGGUGACAGAGAUACCCGGUACCUGUUGCUGGUGGGGUAUCCCAUGGAAUUUGUCGAGGUGCGUGAAAGCUAGCCCAGACACCACGGUCAUAAAAAAAAAGUGUCAUAUAACUGGGAACGGAUGAAGUGCUUUUUUGGCUUGAUUGUUUUCCUUCAUUUCUGUUUGUUCCUUGUUGGUAGUUGUGUGUAUUAUUGAUCUCAAUAGUCUUUGUUUAUUAUUCUAUUCCAAAAAGAUGACUUCUUGUUGGUAGAACUGUGUAAAUUAUUAAACUCACGAAUAUGUACAAUAUACCAUGUGUAAUUCCACAAGUGGGGGGUCUGGGACCUUACCCCCUACCUUGUGAAGGUAGAGAGGUUUUUUUCCGGAAGACCCUUGGCUCUAGUAAAAGCAUAUCAAAGUAGUAGCAAAUAAGCCAUUUAAGAAAAAGAAAAGAACAAUAUCUAAACCAUAAAGAAUGAACGUUUCUAUAUUUGGAAGUUCUUUAAUUUUCUAUUUACCAUUAGUCUCAUGCUCUUAUAGGCUCUGAUAAUGUCAUGACAUGUUUAGAUCACAUGUUCUAACUAAAAAGUACUUUUCUAUGUGUUAGAACUUUUUUUUUCUUUAUUAAACUCCAUUCCCUGUCAAGCACCCUUCCAUAUAAAAUUAACCAGAAGAUUAUUAGUUUUCUGUGAUGAGUUUGGUAAUUUUUUGGUUGUUUUUGUUUAUUUUCUGGAUCUAUGGUAGUUUGUCAAUUCAACUUUUACUUCCGUCUACCAUUGCCUAUCUACUUGGCUUUUGUUUGCUUCCUCUUCCAUAGACCGAGUUUCUGCUCUAGUUUACUCAUGUUUAAGCUUCAUUGGUAAUAUACAUUGAGUUUAUUAGGGUGGUCACGAAUAAAUUAAUCAAUCAAUUAUGUUUCAGUCCCAAACUAGAUCAUUUGUUCUAUGUCCAUUCCGUAUUUGUCUCCAAUGACAUUUCUAUGUGUAAUCGUUUUGUUGUAGUAUACAAUAUAUCGCAGUUGGUUGUAGUUGUUUGAAGUAAUGAAAUGGCGUUAGACUACUACUUCUAUAGUUCUAUUAGUCUGUUAUAUUUGGCAAAAAACAUUUCCCUUUGUCAUGGUCUAGUGAACUUUCUAUUGCUUAGUACAACAGUAUAGUACUAUAGUGGCUCAUUCUAAAACAUUGGGUAAGAACUAAGAAGAUUUUCUGUAACACUAAAAUUGAAAAUAAAACUAAAACAUGCUUGUAAUUGUAAAAUUAGAGUGAAGCAUAUAUUUUACAUUUCGAACAUGUAGUCAUACUUUAGUUUAUUGCCUAUUUUUUUUAAGAAAUAAAUGCUAUAUGGACAUGUUUGCAGCACAUUUUGUUUACAUGUCUGAUAUGCCUCUCUGUUCCACCUCCUGAGUUCUUGCCUGGGCAUUUUGAAUCUAUAGAGUGGCUUACAAUUGUUGAAUGUGUUUUUUAACUGUUAAAUUUUGCAUACUGCUGUUACUGGGCUUACUUAUUGGUUUCCAUUUCUUUUUAGUUAUUGCUAUUAGCAUUUAAUGAUUUACAAUGGACCCUCCCUUUUUCUGUUGAGAGCUUGUAUUUAAGGUUUACUGUGUUUUAGUGAUAUCACCCUGCGGGUGUUGUUACGGUUAAUUGUUACUGCUUUGUUAUUCGUUGCCAUGUUUCUCCACUUGUAUUUUUUUGUUUUAUUACUGCUUGGAGUUGCUUGAACAGAGGGUCUUUCGGAACCAUCCUCUCUACCUCUCCGAGGUAUUGGUAAGGACUGCGUACACUCUACCCUCCCAGACACUACUUUGUGGGAUUUCACUUGGUAUGUUGUUGUUGAGAGCUUGUAUAGAGGUUAUGUAUCUAUUGUUGUUGCAUUAAAUCAUUUGCCUCAUCUCUUUACAGGCUGCCAACUACUUAAACAUAAAGAGCCUGCUUGACCUGACAUGUCAGACAGUUGCUGACAUGAUCAAAGGGAAGACCCCUGAAGAGAUUCGUAAAACUUUCAACAUUGAGAAUGACUUCACUCCUGAGGAAGAGGAAGAAGUCAGGAGGGAGAAUGCUUGGGCAGUCUAGUGAAUAUGAGUCUGCUAAGCGUCCAUAUGUGAUGAUAUAUCUGCAAUAUACUUUAGUAGAUGCUAUGAAUAACUUAUAUUAGUAAGUGUGUGACUGUUGUUUCUGGGACCUUCUGGCUUUUCAGUUGAACCUCUUUUGCUCUGUUAUGCCAUGGUUUGUUGUGUUCUAAGUAAAAAUUGAAGAUAAAAUCAUGUUGGUAGCUGAU
rnacentral:lncRNA from 1 species